rnacentral:lncRNA from 1 species
AGGGGUGAUCGACGCUGACUAGCAUGGCCCGGUGGGCGUUGUGCUCUUGAACCACUUGGAGGCGGACUUUGCUAUGAAGCAUGGUGGCCACGUCGAACAGAUGAUCGUCCAGGUGAUUUUGACACUGGAGGUCUUCGAGGUGGAGGUCCUCGACGCCAUCGUCCGGGGGAAGGAGGAUUCGGGUACAUUGGCGUCUGAACUCCGAGCCUUGGUAGAUACAUCUAGAGAAGUGAUUUGUUUAGGUUGGUGGUGGACCACUAGGGGAGGUACUUCGAUGAUGGUUGUGUGUCUGAUGUUAAAUGGAAUCCUGAGAUGGUUCUGUGACGUUGGUUUGCUUUGCAAUGGACGUAUUACCAUUCAUGAAUACCACAUCUAACUUUUAUUUUUUUAAUUCCUAAAUUGUUAGUAGUAGCGUGGGGUAAAAGUGAGCGCUACUAGUAGUUAGGUUAGUAGUUAAGUUAGUAGUAGCGUGGGUGUUAGCUUAGUAGUAGCGCGGGUGCACCCGCGCUACUACUAAUCAUUUAGUAGUAGCGCGGGUUUAGCCCACGCCACUAGUAACAUUUAGCUGUAGCGCCUUAUUGGUCGCGUGGCUGUCCGCGCUGCUAAUAACCUAAAAACCCGCGCUGCUGCUAGCCUUUUCCGUAGUAGUGGAGGACCCCUUAAUCCAGGACUCCCUCAGCAGCUGUCUUUCGCUGUUGCUGACGAGGUGUAGGAGGAGGCCGGCUGCUCGGACAUGCCGGAGGAGGAGGAGAAGGAGGCGGAGUGGCGCCACGCGCCGGAGCAGCCGGAGAAGGAGGCUGUGUGGCUUGAUCACUCGCCGGAGGAGGAGGCGGAGUGCCCUGACUCACCGGAGGAGGAGGAGGAGGAGGCGGAGACGUCCAGUUCGGAAGGUUGAUGAGCUCCUUCCGCCAUAGACAUGGAGUCUUCAGAGCAUGACCCAGCCGAGUCUCCCCUUCACCGGUAGGGUGGUCAAGCUCGAGCUCCUCAAAUCCGUCUGUUAUUUUAUCCACUAUCACAACAGCAUAGCCUUGGGGAAUCAAAAGGCAGUGAAAAGUUGCACCGGGUUCAGGAGGUGCAACAGAGCCGACAACCGCCUUGAAUUUGAGGUGCUGCCAUUGCAUCAUAAGGUGGCAAUCUUGAGCCUUCGUGAUAGCAUCCAUGGGGUAGCUAGGAGCCGUGAAGUCAAGCUGCUGAAGGAGCUCGGUAGAAGCCACACUGCUUCUCCGCUGAGAUGGCGAGGUAGCUCCGGCAGGUCACUGGCUAUGAACUACUUGUUCCUCUAGCGCUCGUACCCUUGCAUUCAGCUUCUGCAGUUUGGUCUGCUCCACUUUCCUCCUCCUCUCCUGGGUUUUGUAACCGCCUGCGCCAGGAAACCCAACCUUCCAUGCAACGGAGCCUACCGUGCCUCAUGUUCGUCCUGGGUGCUCAGGAUUCACUACAAAAAAAUACACUUCCAUGAUGAUACGUGUUUGUCACAGUAGAUCAUGUUUUCUGUCAUGCAUGUACAUCCAUGACAAUUUUAUGACAGAAUCAAGAUAGUCAUACCUGUGCUGUCGUAGAAGUGUUCCAUGACAUUACUAAAAUUAUCAUCACGGAAGUGUCCCCUUCCAUGACGAUAAAUCACGCGUCAUAGAAGUGCUUUCGUCAAGGGUGACCGACACGUGGCAUCCAUCUUAACGGAACGCCAUUAAGCUAUCGGGUCCGGUUUUAGAUCCGAUAACCCGUUAACAGCCCGGACCAAUGGGGAUUUUCAACGUGUAAAAUACUCAUUGGCCGAAGGAAACACAUGUUUGCUCACCGUUGGGACAGAUGUCAUCCACUCAUUGGACAGGAGGCACCUAUGAUACAUCGACACGUGGAACGGCCCAAUAGAGGCCCAUUCCGGUGAAAAGGCCGGCCCAGCUAAAGGCCCACCAUGUUUUUUCAGGCACUACUGGGCUGGCCCGUUAACAGCGUGCCAUGUUUUCUGCCAAAUUGAGGCCCAUACCAGAUCAGGCCCGUUCACAGCCUGCCGUGUUUUGGGCCAAAUUACGGCCCAUAUCGGAUCAGGCCCGUUAAGAGGCCACUGUUCUUUUGGGCCCAUUCUAGGAUAGGUUUGUAUUUCAGCUUGUUAAAUCCCCGUUUACCAGUUCGGCCCGAUAAUAGUUUUGGCCUGUUAGCAGCCUGUGGUGCAUCUGGGACGUUGUCGGCCCGGUUUAACUUUAGGCCAUUUAACGGCCCAUGUAGACACUGGGCAAUUUAUUGUCCGAUGUAACUUUAGAACUCUUAACGGCCCGUAGUUUUCAUGGAUAAAUUUCAGCCCAACUGGCCUACUGGGCUGUUAAUGGCCCGUGUAACAGUUAGGCCUAAUUACAACCCGCAUUGAAUACGACCUGCUUACAGCCCAUCUGAUAAUGGACCAUGACACUUUUAGGCCUAUGGCCCGCAUAGAUACCGGCCUGCUUAAAGCCCAGAAUUUUAUUGGGCCAAACAGGCCGGAGAUAUAUUUUGGCCUGUUAAUUGCUCGUCCUAUUUGGGCCAAACAUGGGCCUUAGGUAGUUUCGGCCUGUAUUGUCCCAUGAAUUUUUCGGCUCAAUGCUAGCCCAAUCUAGGUUUUAGCCUGUUAAAAGCCCAUUGUAUUCUCUGGCCCAGCAGGCCAGAAAUUUACUCGGCCUGUUAAAGGCGGGAAACAACCAUAAGGUUUAGACCUGCUAAUGGCCCAAGAUGAUUAUAGGCCCACGUUUUGGCCCAUAUGAGUAACGAGCCGCCCUGAAGACCAACAACACUGAGAUCCACUGAACCUUCCGACCUAAAUUACAGCAUACCGACCAAGAAUAAACCUAGACUAUACAACAAAGAAAUUACAUCAUAUUACAUCCCCUCGGCAUCAAAGUUCAGGCGGCGACUUCAUCGAGUUUGUAUCACUGAGUAAGUUUGACACUACAUCAAGAUGUGACUUCGUGGUUGUAUCCCUACCCUCAAUAUGUUUUGACUUCUCCUCUAGAAUAUAUGUUAGAGGGACAAACAAUGGGUUCGUCUCACUAUCAUUGUGGCAGUUCUUCCUAGCAGCAGUGUUGUCAUCCUGAAAGAGAAACAAGUAGGUAGAUAACAGGUUUUGCACGUAUAAGCAUCAGCGCUGUCAAUUCAUCUCAUUUCUCUGUCAGAAAUAAAGAGACAUAGUUUAAAAUAGCAUUAACAUAAUAGGCAUUGUUCAUAGUUAAGACGGCAGGAAAUGGCAUUGCGCAGGAGUGGCCAGCUUCACCAGACCACUGGAUUACAGAUCAAGAACACAAGCAUAGAUGUAGAUCUAAACAACGUAUAAGCAUGAAUGGUGAGUGUACUGUCAAUUUAUACCAUUUCAGAUUGGUAAAUAAAGAGACACAAUUUAAAUAACAUUAAUAUAAUAUGGCAUUGUUCAUAGUUGAGACAUAGCAGGAUAUGACAUUGUGCUGUUGUUGGUAGUCUCACCACACACUGGAUUACAGAUCAAGAACACAAGCAUACACAUAGUGCUAAAGAAGAUAACUUUCUACGUUUAGUUUAAUUUACAUGGUACGAAUAAGGAACUAGAUUGUACAAUUAAAGAAUGAAAUUGAGAACGACAAACUUAUGUUUAUGUACUUCUACUUUAUAAACUUUGAACAAGCAAUUUGAUGCAGAUGACAAAAAUAAACAGCAUUUGCACUCAUAGCUAUCCCAAAUAUAAACAACAAAGUUUGAAGGCUCGAGGUGAACAAACUUACAUUAGUAGUGAAGACAGGCUCUAUAAAGGCCUUGUCCAUAUUGAUGGGGGGGGGGCAAUUCAAGACGUUUACCUCACACUCUUCUUCAAGAGUAUUGCCUUUAUUCUACAUUUUGUUAAGAGUAAAUAUAGAUGUGAAAAUAUAGAAACAAAUGGCAAUUAUUCAACUUAACAUGCAGAGUACAAAUGUAAAUACAGCAUACAGGUAGAAGGCACUGACAAGAGCAAUGCGGAGCUAAACUUCUUCAGUAACAUUGGUUUUAUUCAAUAUUUUGUCAAGAGUAAAUGUAGAUCUGAUGUCUAGAAAAAUGGAGGACAAGGGAAAAUAAGCUGCAAAGUGUACAUGAAGAACUGGCUGACAAAUAUAAGGACUACAGAUACUUAUAAGAACAAUGCAGAACUAAAUUUCUUCAUAGGCAUUGGGUUUAUUCUACAUUAAUUAAGCAUUAAUAUAGAUAUGAUAAUUUGGAGCGAAUAGUGGAUAAGCAAGCUAUAAUGCACAAUGAUGUCACAUAAUCCACCAGGUAUGAAUGUAAGGACAACGAUAGAACAAUAGGUACUCACAAGAGCAAAGCAGCGACCAGCAUAGUUGCGAUAUCCUAGGUUUUGCGGCGCUGGUUCUAUCGCCAAUAUACGUCGAGUGCUAUGUGAUUUCUCUGGUAGCACUACCUUUUUCAAGGACUUUGCUUGUACUCCUUCAGGUUCUGCGAUCACCCUCUUCCUUUUGUAUGUCUGAAACACAAAAACAACAUUUGAAUGGAAAAACAUGGUAUGACGACAAGUGGAAUAGGUGUUGAUAAUGGAUGGGCAUGGCAUCUUCACAUAUAUCAUGAGUAAACUAAGCAGAUGGCGGUGCAACGAAGAAAAAUAAAUGCAAGACACCUUAUGCAAGAUAUGUGCAACCAAUAAAACCUUGCCAAAUUAGAACAUGCACCUUAUUGGGUGAACAGGAUAGGCCAUCUGCCUUUGACUCCUUGAGCUCAGAAUAGUCAUUAGGAUCAUAUUCUAAAUACGAAUCUAUAGGUCGGGACCAUGUGGGUUUCAUUGCAUCCACAACGGACCUCAAUCCCUUCAUGCCAAGUUUGUUACCCAUUGAACUGUUCCGCAAUAUUCUUCUCAUGUGCGCAUUCUUACACUACUAGGGAAAACCUUAUACACAGAAAUUUAGCAGUAGCGCGUGUCAAAAAUGGGCGCUAGUGCUAAAUAGCAGUAGCGCGCAUUCGUAAACCGUGCUAAAGAUACAAUAGUAGCAGUAGCGCGUGCACAUGAAAAAGCGCUACCACUAAUAUUCCCAUUGCUAAAACGAUAGGCUACACAUAGCAGUAGCGGUCUUGAGGGAAGUGCGCUACCGCUAGGACAUAAGUAGCAGCGCGUUUCACACGGAGAGCGCUACUGCUAAUGGAAAUAAAAUAAAAUGAAAAACAAAUGGAAAAGUAAAUGAAAAAGAAAGAAAUAGAAAAAGGAGAAAGGAAAAAAUAAAAUGUAGAGCAAAAUAAAUGAGAAAGCGAAAAAGGAGAAAGGCGUAGCAGUAGCGUUUGUUCAUAAGAGGUGCUAUAGCUAACGUAGCUGCAUCGCGUUUCCUAGACCCCCGCUGUAGAAACAGAAAAGGAAAUAAGAAAGAUGAAGGAAAUUACAUAGCUAUAGCAGUAGCGCGUUUUGUGAAAAUCGCUAUAGCUAACUUAGCCAUAGUGCGUUUCACGAAAAGCGCUACCGCUAAGUUUGACUUAACCAAAAAACCGUUUCCCCCUGGCCACCACUUCUCCCCCAAAAUCCCUCGACCCACACCCCGCCGCCGUCUGCCCGAUUAGCCGUCGCCCCACUUCGCCGCCGUCUCCUGCCGACGUUGAUGCCCCUGGAGCCACCAGAGCCACGCGCCAUCGAUGCCACUGGAGCCGCCCCCAACACCACCGGAGCCGCGCGACCUCAUCAACGCCACCGGAGCCGCAGUCGAUGCCACUAGAUCCUCCCUCACCACAACUGCCUCCCUCGCCGUCACCGGAGACGCCCCUGCCUCCCUCGCCACCACUACCUCCCGCGCCACCACCGGAGCCAUCCUCUGUAAGCCCCUACCCCUCCUCUCUCUCUCUAAAUUAGUUAGGUUAAUUUUGUUAGGAAAAGAAUUUAGUUAGGUUAAUUUAGUUAGGUUAAUUAGUUAGGUUAAUUUGACAUAGACGCCCCUACCUCCCUUGCCACAUCUGCCUCUCUCGCCUUAGGAAAAAAUUAUAUAUGCUUAACUAGGGCAGUAGGGUUAGGGUUGUAGCGUUUAAUUACAAAUGUUAGGAAAGUAAGGUUUAACUAGAUGUUAACUAGGGUGGUAGGAUUUAGUUUAGAAAAAAAAUCAAUAUAAAAAUAUAAAUUUCUAUUAGUGUUGCAAUUCUAGUAGGUUCUUAAUUUUUAGUGAAUUUUUAUUAGGACAAAAAAUUUAGGACAUAAUUUGAGUUCUAGGUUCAUAAUUUGAGUUCUAGGGUUCAUCCAUCUAUAUUUGGUUUUUGAAUUGAGAUUCAGAGAGCAUGAGAUUUGGUAGAUUUUCUUGAAGUGUCAAACACUAGGAGAUGCAAAUUUGAAGUGGUCAUGGUACAUGAAAAAUCCUCAAUUGUGUUUGCUCAUUGAUCAUAAUCGACAUUGAAGUGGUUCGAUUAUGCCCAAGUGGCCUUUUGUUGUUUCUAGGGAAUGAAGCUGAGUGGCCGAUGUUUUGCCGGAAUGUUGAUUCAUUUCCGUUACGACAAAUUUCAGGUUCUCGAUUUGUCCACUUUUUAGCAAAGGUCAUGCCGAAAUUUUCCGUGAAUUUUGGCAUGACUUGUGCUACAAACUAGGAGAUAUUGAGUGCCCGGGAUAUGCCACACCAGGAAGGAGUCAACGUUCCUGCAAAACAUAGGCCUUUUUAUGUCAUUAUUCAUUUUAUCCGGUCUAGAAUUAAUUUACUAGAUUUAAUGGUAUGAAACAUGGCUAGCAACGAUGAAGGACAUGGUUCUGGUUAUUGCGACGACGUCUACCUGGCGGCAGACGAAUUUUUGAGCCUUGCCAACGAUCAACCGAUGUUGUUGCCGGGCCCACCGGUCGCAUCGGGGACUGAGACCGACACGUAGACCGGCGCUGAGACUGAGAUCGGCGCUGCCUCGGGGAGCGGAGCCAGUAUAGAAUAGAAAGCAAAGAGGCGACGGCUUCCUAACAAGCUCAGGACUACUAGACUGGUGGUCACAGAGGUGGACGACAACAAUUUUGAGCAAAACGCGCCCGAGGAAGCGCGCGCGUGCUACGACAAUCAAAUUGGCUGCAUCAUACGGACAACCGCCACCAUCAACGAUGAGAAACUAAACAAGUUAGAUAAUAUGAGGCCCACCCUCCUAAAGAAGUUGCACCAGAUAUUCUUGUUCCCGGGCCAGAAUGAAAAGGAUUAUAAAGAUCCAGAUAAGGACCCGACAAUGAAGAAGAUAAACUUGCCCACCGUCCAUGAGCAAGUUUAGCGACGCGUUGGCCGCCUGGAAAGCAAGGGUGAAAUAUUGGAUCUUCAAUGAAAAGGAACCCUACUCUGAUAUUGUAAAGGAUAAUCCGACAAUCACGGCAGAGCACUUUGAAAUAUUCAAGGCGGCUUGCGAGGCCGAAGAUGCCAAAAAAAGUCAGAGUACAUGAAGGGGCUUCAACAGAAGAACAUUAGGUGCCACCACCUCGGAAGCCGUGGUUACGGCGGGAAGAGGUCCAUAUGGGCCAAGGAGGAUGCGGAAGCCGUGAGUCUGGGCAUCCCAGACACCUUGGCGGAGUUCAUCGUCUCGCAGGAGCGUGACAUCCUCAGGGCCCGGCACCAUUGGGACCCAGUGAAGAAGGUUUUUGAGAAGAACGCGGUCACGACAGAGUUCAUUAGACUGCUGGUAAUUUUAGUUUCUGAUCAAUUUGACUGCACGUUUGUCCUAUUUGUAAACGAUCCUUGUGCCUUUUGCAGAGAGAGCAGCACAGGAUUACGUCCGAAAGCGACUCGCCGUCUGAGGCGUUGGCGAGGCCCAAGUGGGACACCCUAUUCAACCGGGCAUUGAACAUAUUGAAAGGACUCCCGGUGGAGACUCGACCGUCGUAUGGACGCGUGCACCGUGUCGGAGACGGCGCCACGUGGAAGAAGUACUACCAUGAGACUACGGAGGAGAGAAAGGAAAGACAGAGGUUAACUGAAGAAAACAUCGACAAGAAGGUUGAGAUUGCGGUUGAAAAGAAACCAUCUGAGACAGUCACAAGAGUGAUAGCUACCGCACAACAGGUGCUUGUAGAUAUGUCUACUACCUUGGUUCCGGCCGUUUUCAAUUGGAGCAGACAAAAUCCAGAAAAAAUGCAACGGACUUUCCCCUUGCUGACUUCCUCAGGAGCAGCUCGACUAGCGUUGCACCAGCACCAGCACCGGCUCCUGCACCUGCUCCCGCACCUGCUCUGGCACUGGCUCCUGCACCUGCUCCCGCUCCGACUGCUGCACCUGCUCCCGCACCGGCUCCUGCACCUGCUCCCACACUGGCUUCUGCACCGGCUCUGGCACUGGCUCCGGCACCGGACGUGCUCGGUGGUGCUUCGUCUUUGGCUGAGCUCGACGCCCUCACGGUAUCUGUCACACCGGCCCCCUUCAAUAAAUGUAUAAUCUCCCGUUUUCGUUGCCUUUCGGAUGUCUCACGUCACAGACUUUUCUUUGCAGGCCGACGAAACCCCGUGCACCAUAUUGUACACCAUCGGCGACUAGAAGGUGGACGUGGGGAAGGCGACGAUAAUGGAGCCGAAGGAACCAGAGUUCCACAGCCGACCGAUCCCCCCGGAAGUCUUCAAGGUUUCCGUGGCCAGUGUCAAACCGGGCCAUGAGAAUUUGGCUCCUCGGUACUAGUGGGGGAUGACGUCGAGACCCCGCGGCAGCUUGUUGAUUGUUGCAAUGGGUGGGUCCUGUUGUGGCCAAAGAGUCUGCUUCGUCUGGAGGCGGCCGGGAGCACACCCACGAGCACACAGUUAGGUAUGAACAUCAACACCCCACCUACUCCAUUAGUCGCUGGUGACGUCGCCAUAGAUGAGGAUGAGGAUGACACUCAACAGUAUGUCAAUACUAGCGCCUACUUAGGGUUUGAGCCUCAUGAGUCGGUGCCUGAAUUGCCGCCUCCGGAGUCUGAACAUAUUAUGGACAACCUUCCGGUAGUAAAGAAGUCUAGGAAGAGACCGAGGAAAGGCAAAAAAGCUGCUUCUGUGAUCCAGCAGCCUCGGGUUCAAGACCGUAUAGAUAUUCCCGGUGCGGCAAAAUGGCAUAUCCACGGUCAACCAAUCCUACCUGAAGCAGCGCCGCGGGCCAGAUUCGGCGAUUUAAGGAGACUUCAUGACAAUGUGCUGUGGAUAGAGAAAUGCCUCAUCGCCUCAAAAAACCCAGGAUACCCACUCUACGUGGUUAACAUGCCGCGGGGAUUGUCGUACAUCGACACAUUCCCCGCCGAGAAGUUCUUCCUUUGAUUCGAUUACAUCUUUGACAUGUUUCACUUGAAGAAGCUGGAUUUUGUAUUUGUCCGCCUUUAUGCUUUGCACAUGAACUACCUGAUCGGGGUUGAGCAGAUACCUUAUAUUUGUGUCGCUGACCCGUACUUCAUGCACGAGGCCUUCUUGGGAGUCUGCGCAAAGCACUGUGAAUACGCGAGGGAAUACAUCGUCAAUUUCAUGCUCGCCAAUACGGACAAGGAGGCAAUUCUCGUGCCUUAUCAUCCCAUGUAAGUCAUCCGCGCGGAUAUCCUUCCUUUGAUUUCAAUCAUUCUUUUGCACGGUGGAGGCUAAUUAAUUUGAGGUGUACUAAUUUUUCACAGCGGCGGGCGCGCCAUCCUCAUCAUCCUCUACCCCCGACACUCUCAUGCUCUUUACUUGGACUCGUCGAAGAACAUUAAGUAAAAGGAUUACACCCACAUCAAGUCUGUUCUCGACAGUGCUAUGUUUUACUAUGGCGCACGGGGUGGAGAGGUCAAGGACAAGAAGAAAAAGGACGGCAGGCCCGCCUUCGGCCAUAAGACCGACUUCUGCUGCAUCCAGCAACCGAGUGAUUCUCUUAAUGAUGGAUUCUAUGUCCUACACCAGAUGCUAGAGUACAGACGGGAUCACCAGAACCUUUGCAUGUCACCUACAUCCGGCGAUGCCCAUAUUCUGCAAUGGGCAAAGAACUUAGGAGAUAUCGAGGAUCAUCGACUUCGAGCUGAGUUCUAUCACAUCCUGCGCGAACUUGCCCAAAUCAUCAUGAAGGAGGUCGUCGAAAAAUCAGGGAUGUUCUACGAAGAAGGACAAAUGUCGCGGGAAGACGUCCGAACACGCCUCCAAGCUCAGCGUCUCGACCUGAAGCCUUUCACUAAGCUCGGGGACUAUCUCCCUGACUUGGAUGGAUGGCACGACAUGGAGUGACUGUCGAUAUAUGACAAUGUGUCCUCUUAGUCCAUACUAUCUGUAUGACGAAACUUUGAAUUAUGCACAACGAAACUUUAUUUGUGUUGUAAUUAAACCGUCCUCCUCGACUAGCGAAGAUCACUCUAGUUAGGGAAUUUUGGGUACGAUGAACUUUGUUAUUUAUGCUUAUGAUAUGUUGCUUCUAUUUUUGCCAAGUCUAUCUCUUUCUAUUGCUCAACUAUAUAUGUAGCAUAUUAUCGACUCAUGUGACGAUGCAGGUGUAUAGAUCAUCGAUGGCGAAGAAGUGCUACGUCAGGAGUACACAACGAGUGGCCGGAAUGUCAGGCCUAGGUGUACCGGUUUCCGGUUUCCGAGCGACAGCCAGUAUUUAGUUUAGGUUCACGCAAAGUGAGAGCUCUUCUCGCGUAUAUCAUUGUUUAGAUGGAUGACGAUGUAGUUGCAAGUAAUCGAUAUUUGUAUCGCUAUUUUCGAGAUGAUGACGAGAGACCACUUGGUGUUGGAUGAUGAUUAUGAUGAUGACAUGAUUUGAUGAGACUAUUUGUAUGUAUGUGCUAUGAUUACAUUUGUAUGUCUAUCAUAUGCUAAAGAUUAUUGUAUAAAGCCUAUUCAAAUACAAAACAAAUAUGCAGAAAAAAACUACUAAAAUUAGCAGUAGCGAGUGGAGAAAAGUUAGCAGCAGCGCCACAGUAACAGUAGCGCGUCCAGGCAAAGCACGCUAGAGCUAUUGUAUAGCAGUACCGCGGGUGUGCACGCGCUACUGCUGUAGCGCCUUAUUAGUAGCACCGGUCCCCGCGCUACUGAUAUACCUAGAACCCGCGCUACUGCUAGCCUUUUCCCUAGUAGUGUUAUAUUCAUUUUGAUUAUGCACAAUAUCUGUAAAGCAUGUAAACACAAAUAGUACCGAGAUUAUCUUUGUAAUGCAGAGGAUAUUGUAAUAUAAUAGAGGCUCCCUGUAAACCCUUGUGUUCUAUCACUGGAUUAUGAUGAGAGAGCCCAUGUGUGCUGUAAUAUGGUGAGUAGAUUAAUAUAAUCUAGCACAACUACACAAAAUAUAGGCUCCUGUUGGGGGCCCCAGAUGUAAGGAUAGUUGGCAGAUGAUAGGUUCAUAAUAUACUGUAUAGAAAUUUUAUUGCCAAACCAUGAUAACGAGAGCGCAGAGCCCGUAGUGUAGAUAAUAGGGGUACACCAUAACCACCAUAACGAAAGCGGAACUGGCUCGAAAACAUAGGGUUUUGCCGCUACUAAUAUGCAGCCUAUCGAUCACCUACAGGCCAGCUCUAUUCAUCGGAAGGCGCACAACUGUUACUAUCAGUUUAGUCUAUCAAAGACCGCAUGGCUCCCACCAUUUCCGGGGUAUUACGACAGACCAACUCGAAGUGCAAAAUCAUUUAGCAGAACCGACCCAAUGGAGGUGUCGACUGCAGAUGUCCCUGCUCCCCUUCCUGACAAGGAACAUACUGUGCUUCCCAUACAGAACACCGCACGGGCAGCCGGCCGAACCACCGGCCCCUACCGUCUGUGUUCCUCUGCCACCCCCACCCCCGCCCCCACCGACAUCGAGUUUUCUUUGUUCGGCGAGGUCCCACCACCGCCCCCACAAGCACCGUCCCCACCUGAGCCCCUUCCUUCGCACCGGCGAACUCCGGCGAGCUCUCAAAAAUCUACUGACCCAAUUUUGAAAUUUAGUCUACUGUCAUUUAACUAGUGUGGAAUAUAAAAGGGGAAAACCAUAAGCAUUGCGAGUAUAGUGUUGAGCGUGCCAUGGCAGAUUUGAAGGUGCAAACCGGACAAAGGAAACUUCACAACCAAUGUUUGCUUUCAACUAACAAGUAAGUGAUGGACAAGAAAUCAUAGUAAAGUAGUGUCGAUCUAUUUUCUUGCUGCGAUAAAUAAGUUGAGAAGAUACGAAAGAGUACCGCCUCUGGUGCGGCACUGUGUAUGCAUCUGCUGAGAAUUUGACGGUGCUGCGGUAGCGAUGGCUGUCGGCGGCGUGGAAGUAGAUCUAGGAUGAUAGACGGUGGCGGCAAGGCGUGGUGGGCAAGACGGUCGUGGGAGCGGCAUCGGCAAGGUGGACGACAGCGGGGGUGAAGCGGGAGGACGGGAUGCAAGGAUCCCGGUCUGAAGCCAUCACUACAAAAAAAGACACAUCCAUGACAUUUUGGGCCGAACGAAAUUUUUUUCUGUCAUACAUAUGACACUUCUAUGACGAUAAUUGUGACAAAACCUGGUAUCAUCAUAGAUGCGGUGGGCUCCUACUUCUAUGACAAAAAAUCAUGACAGAAAAUGGGCAUUUCGUCCUGGGCGGGCUGGAGACGCAGCUACAUGACAUUCUUUGGGCCGUCCAUGAUAGAAAAAAACCAUGGUAGAAGCAAGGGGGAGGAAAAUUUCAGGGAGUUCCCGGUUACGGUGGGAGGUCGGGGGCCGAGCGAUGCGCGUUUCUCUCAUACACGUACGCGUGUGUGUGCAAGGCGCUGGCUCUAACUGAACCCAAGCGAGGCAUUGGGCUCUAACUGAACCCGCGCGAUUGCACUGCAGGCUACGCGUUACUGAACCCGAGCGAUCGAUCGAUGGCUGUUAACUGAACCCGAUCGAGCAAUUCCUUGGCUACUGCUGCUAACUGAAGCCGAUCGAUGGGAUGAACAGUGAGUGUUGCGAGGGGGGGGGUGGAUGAACAGUGAGUGGUGGCGUUGCCUCUGGAUGAACAGGACCCCGUGGUGUGGUGGAGGGCUGGAUGAACAGUAGAUGGUGGAGGGGUGCCCGUGGAGGGGUGGAUGAACAGGAUCCCGUGGUGUGGAGGGAAGGAUGAACAGUAGACGGUGGAGGGGUGCCUGUGGAGGGGUGGUUGAACAGGACCCCAUGGUGUGGAGGGCUGGAUGAACAGUAGAUGGUGGAGGGGUGGUUGAAUAGUAGCGGUGGAGUAGCGCGCGGUGGAGGCUGGAUGAACAGGAGCCAGUGGAGGCUGGAGGAGGUCGACGGUGGAUGAACAAUAGCCCGUGGAGGCUGGAGGGGGUCGAGGGUGGAGAUGAACAGUAUCCCAUGGAGUCCCGUUUUGCGGUACGCCACACCCCUCCCGAUGAACAGGUACCCCGUUUUGACCUUAGCGCUCCAACACAAGUCUGUUUCCUCCGUUUUGCGGUACGCCACACCCCUCCCGAUCAACAGGACCCCCGUUUCGACCGUAGGAGGUCUGUUUCCUCCGUUUUGCGGUACGCCACACCNNNNNNNNNNNNNNNNNNNNNNNNNNNNNNNNNNNNNNNNNNNNNNNNNNNNNNNNNNNNNNNNNNNNNNNNNNNNNNNNNNNNNNNNNNNNNNNNNNNNNNNNNNNNNNNNNNNNNNNNNNNNNNNNNNNNNNNNNNNNNNNNNNNNNNNNNNNNNNNNNNNNNNNNNNNNNNNNNNNNNNNNNNNNNNNNNNNNNNNNNNNNNNNNNNNNNNNNNNNNNNNNNNNNNNNNNNNNNNNNNNNNNNNNNNNNNNNNNNNNNNNNNNNNNNNNNNNNNNNNNNNNNNNNNNNNNNNNNNNNNNNNNNNNNNNNNNNNNNNNNNNNNNNNNNNNNNNNNNNNNNNNNNNNNNNNNNNNNNNNNNNNNNNNNNNNNNNNNNNNNNNNNNNNNNNNNUAGCCCGUGGAGGCUGGAGGGGGUCGAGGGUGGAGAUGAACAGUAUCCCAUGGAGUCCCGUUUUGCGGUACGCCACACCCCUCCCGAUGAACAGGUACCCCGUUUUGACCUUAGCGCUCCAACACAAGUCUGUUUCCUCCGUUUUGCGGUACGCCACACCCCUCCCGAUCAACAGGACCCCCGUUUCGACUGUAGGAGGUCUGUUUCCUCCGUUUUGCGGUACGCCACACCCCUCCUGAUCAACAUGACCCCCAUUUCAACCGUAGGAGGUCCGUUUCCUCCGUUUUGCGGUACGCCACACCCCUCCCGAUCAACAGGACCCCCGUUUCGACCGUAGGAGGACCGUUUCCUCCGUUGUGCGGUACGCCAGGCUUCGUUUGCAUUGCCUCUUCCGUCCAAGCCCUCCCGAUGAAUACGACCACGCAUUCCGUUCCGACCCAUGAACACGACGACGACGCUGUUUCUCCGUUCCGUCCCAGCCAUGUACACGAGCCCUCGCCGUACGUAUGUGUGAGUAGGCGUUCGAAAGCCCGCCCGUAUGUACAUAUAUGUGGUCGUAUUUUCUUUCUUGCACCCUGGCCGCCUCUACUACGACACGUGCGCGCCUCUACAUCCACCAGUAUAUAUGUACGUACACGUUCGCGACCAGAAUGCCAACGCUGCGUACGCUUCGACCAGGUCGGUCCCAACUGUCAGGCACUUCCUUGCGUGCGAAGGUGUAGCUGGUGGGUCCCAGCAGUCACGGGGAAACGUUUUUUCCAAAAAAUACGGUGGCCUGUCCGGUGGGUCCCUGCUGUCAGGUGGAGCAAUCAUUAUUUUCCACGUAAUAAGGAGGCACUUCCUUGCUGCCGCCAUGGACCCAGCUGUCAGCCUCUCCACAUACAGUCCACGUCCGAUGGAAGUCGUUCCUUGACCACAUUGACCACGCCGCGCCGAGAGCACCAGGGCGGUGGACGAUGGCGAGGCCUAGGAAGGGGACGACGAGGAGCCGAGGAAGACGCGACAGUGGAAGCCCACGCGCGCGCGGAGAGGAGUACGAGGGUUCACUGGUUCGGCUGCGGUGUGAGGUUGCCGUCGCCGCAGGGCCUGGCCAGCGGUGGGAAUAGUAGGGGGCGGUGAGGCCUCCACGGCACCACAGCCGGCCACGGGAGGCAGGAGCAUGCGGCACGACCGGCGCUGCUUUGGGCGGCUGGAGCAAGAAGACCAGAGGUUGAAGAAGCUCUACGGUCGUUGGAUGGACAUCGUACGGUCAAUGGAUCUAGAAUCGUUCAUAUUGACUAAGUUGACAAAGCUCUUCGUCCCCGUCAACUUCGUAGGCCCACAAGUCAGCCUCCCACCAAGGUGGGUCCUAGCUAGACGGGGGAGUAUUCAUUUUUUUGUGUGUAAUAAGGAGGCACUUCCGGUGGGUACGAGCUGACAGCGGGGGGAACGUUUUUUUCGUGAAAUACGGUGGCCCGUCCGGUGGGUCCCAGCAGUUUGGGGGAAACGAUAUUUUUCGCAAAAUACUAGUGGCCCGUCCGGUGGGUCCCUGCUGUUAGGUGGAGGAAUAAUUAUUUUGCACGUAAUAAGGAGGCACUUCCUUGCUGCGACCGUGGACCCAGCUGUCAGCCUCUCCACGUACAGUCCACGUCCGAUGGAAGCCGUUCCUUAACCACAUUGACCACGCCGCGCUGAGCGCACCAGGGCGGUGGACGACAGCGAGGCCUAGGAAGGGGACGAAGCGUAGCCCGGGAAGAUGCGGCAGUGGAUGCCCACGCGUAGAGGAGUACGAGGGCACUAGUUCACUGCAAUGUGAGGUUGCCGUCGCCGCAGAGUAACAGGGGGUGUGGGUGAGUAGAGGGAUGGCCUGGCCAGCGGUGGGAGUAGUAGGGGGCGGUGAGGCCUCUGCCGCAUCGCAGCCGACCACAGGAGGCAGGAGCACGAGGCACGACCGAUGCUGGUUUGGGCGGUUGGAGCAAGAAGACCAGAGGUUGAAGAAGCACUACGGCCGUUGGAUGGACCUCGUAUGGUCAUUGGAGCUAGAAUCGUGCAUUAUUGACUAAGUUGACAAAGCCCUACGUCCCCGUCAACUUAGUAGGCCCACAAGUCAGCCUGCCACUAUACUGGGUCCCAGCUAAUAGGGGGAGUAUUCUUUUUUUUGUGCAUAAUAAGGAGGCACUUCCUUGCGUGCGAAGAUAUAGCUGGUGGGUCCGAGCUGUCAACGGCGGUAACGUUUUUUUCACGAAAUACAGAGGCCCUUUCGGUGGGUCCCUGAUGUCAGGUGGAGGAAUCAUUAUUUUGCGCAUAAUAAGGAGGCAUUUCCUUGCGUGCGGUCGUGGACCCAGCUGUCGGCCUCUCCAUGUACAGUCCACUUCAGAUGCAUGUCGGUCGUUGACCACAUUGAUCAGGCCGCGCCGAGAGCACCAGGGCGGUGGACGACGGUGAGGCCUUGGAAGGGAACGACACGGAGGCAGGGAAGACUCGGUAGUUGUUUCCCACGUGGAGGGGAGUACGACUGUACGAGGGUUUACUGGUUCGUCUACCGUUGUCGGAGAAUAACAGCAGGUAUGGGUGAGUAGAGGGAUGGCUAGGCCAGCGAUGGGAGUACGAUGGGGCGGUGAGGCCUGCGCGGCAGCAGUGCCGGCCGUGGGAAGGAGGGAGCAGAUAGUCUCGCCGGCGACUAUUUGAGCGGCUGGAGCACGAAGAGCAGAGAUUGAAGAAGCACGACGGCCAUUGGAUGGACAUCCAACAGUCACUGGUUGUGCGUCAACCUUUUUUUAGGAAAGCCUCAAAUCUGUGGAAAACAGCAUACAACCCAUCUGCCAUUAUUUCUAAUAAUUUUCAGCCCAUUUGCUAAUUCUUAAGGUUUUUUUGGAGCUGAUAUUCUUUUUGUUAGCAUUACAGCCCAAAUCGUGGCCACGGUUAAAAAAUUAUAUGAAAUUUUGCAUAUUUCGGUGCGGUCCGAACUGUUUUUAAUCCCGAAAUUUUGACUCACAAUCAAAUUGAUUUAAAAAAUAAAUGUAUAUCAAUAUAAAAUCCAACAAAUUCUCCACGCAUAAAAAUUAAUGUAAUUUAAAAUCUUGAAAUGAAAAAAAGAUAUUUGAAACUAAUUGCCGGUUUGAUGUGUUUUAAAAAUGUACAACCCAUUUCUCAUUACUGAUGGGCCAUUUUGUUGGCCAGCCGAAUGAAAGCUCUCCUCGUCUUGAAAGAUUUGCAGCCCAACAGGCCUGACAAAGCGACUUACUUGGCAAAUCACAAAAAAACUAGGCUGUGGCCAUGGACCCAGCUAUCAGCCUCUCCACGUACAGUACUCUUCCGAUGGAAGUCAUUCCUUGACCAUGUUGACCACGCCGCGCGGAGAGCACCACGGCGGUGGACGACGACGAGGCCUAGGAAGGGGACGACACGGAGCCGGGGAAGACGCGACAGUGGAAGCCCGCGCGGAGAGGAGUACGAGGGUUCACUGGUUCGGCUGCGGUGUGAGGCUGCCGUCGCCGUAGGGCCUGGCCAGCGGUGGGAAUAGUAGGGGGUGGUGAGGCCUCCGCGGCAGCACAGCCGGCCACGGGUGGCAAGAGCAUGCAACACUACCGACGCUGCUUUGGGCGGCUGGAGCAAGAAGACCAGAGGUUGAAGAAGCACUACGCCCGUUGGAUGGACAUCGUACGGUCACUGGAGCUAGAAUCGUUCAUAUUGACUAAGUUGACAAAGCCCUCCCUCCCCGUCAACUUUGUUAGCCCACAAGUCAUCCUCCCACUAUGGUGGGUCCCAGCUAGCAGGGGGUAUUCAUUUUUUUGUGCGUAAUAAGGAGGCACUUCCUUGCGUGCGAAGAUAUAGCUGGUGGGUCCGACAUGUCAGCGGGGGGAACGUUUUUUUUGCGAAAUACAGAGGCCCUUCCGGUGGGUCCCAGCUCUCAGGUCCUCGCAAAAAAGGGAAAGAAAAUCAAAGACUUGGGAAGGCGUAUAGAACAAGCUAGUGUACCAGUAAAGAGACAUUGCCGAGUUUUAGAAAAAAGAAAGACGUGCUCCUGUAGCUGGUUCGAAUCCAAACCUAGACUAUGACUAUAUAUGGUGCUAUGCUACUCUGCAAGUAAUGAAACUGACAUAUCCAAUGUUCGCUUCUCCUCUUCUCUACUUACUCUGCCUAGCAUCAGAAGCUCUGGCCGCAGCAACCAUGUCCGCUGGCUGCUCGUCCACCUGCUCUUCAGCAGGCAACAACCAGAUAUGCGCCAAGUCGCGACCCGUACCAUCGCCUGUGGGUCUCAUCACACCCUCGCCAGCACGCGCACCGUAGCCGAUUGCUCAUCGCAACCUGCUGCCAUUGGUGUGGUGCCACUUCUACAAAUCACGCAGAGUCAUCCGUCGCGUCUCAACCACAAUCCGCAACCCUGGCCGAGUCUUCUAUAAAUGCCCGAAUCAUGGGGUAAUAAUAUGUUUAAGUGUUGUUCUGCUGCUUUCAGUUGCUGAUUUUUUUAAUAGUUUGGUUGAUGAUCUACCAAUUUGAUUCAUGCAGAAACAGGAAGAUUUGUGUGAUUUGUAUUUCUGGGAAGUUGCUGAUGUGGGGGAAUGCAACUACGCUGAUUAUUUGGUUAGCCGAGGAAUCCCAAUACCAGCAGGUUGGGGUGUUGGACAAGUAACUGAAGGAACGGUAGAAGAGGAAGAUGCAGAGCAGAAGGUUAAAGAUGAAGUUCCUCUGAUCAUGGCCAAGCAACAGCUGUUGAACGGCUUUGACAGCAAUGAGGAGAUGAAAGAGCUUGUGAAGAUAAUGGGCAAAAUCGAUGUGCUCUGUAGGAUGAUUGUCUCUUUAUUUGCAGUGUAUGUAGCACUCGUGAUGUAUUCAGUGGCUACGACAUGAGCACUUCGUUGAAACUAGUAAUGAAUGAAACCUAUGUAGAAGGCUGGGCGUAGUGUUUUGAACAUCUAAUGAUUUCUAUUAACGGAAAUCAGGGGGUAUCCCCUUUUGCUCAUAUAAAUAAAUAAAUAGCAGAGGCCCUGUCGGGUCAGCUUUGUUCUCAUUCGAAGACGUUGAGCAAAUUGCAGUCCAACAACAAACUAUGUCAUCAAAUUCAAGUUUCACAGCCAAAUAUUAGUACAACUACACAACAAUGUCAUCAUGUUUUAGUUGUCAUACAAUCACCAAAACACAAAUCAGCAUACAUAACAAGUGAUGUUCUCACCGCAAAAUACUAAACAACAUGUUCAUCAGGUUUCAGUUGUCAUAGCAAACACAAUUUCACAUAGUAGAUAAAAAACGUCUUCUGACAGGAAAAUAUGACAAAAGCAAUGUAAUCAUCAUCCGCAGCAGCAGCGUGAACAUCUUCGCCAUGUGUAUCAGUCUGAAUCAUAAUUCCCCAUGGUGUCAUCUUCUUCUUCGUCCUCAACAUCCUCGAACGUUGGCUUCUUCUUGAUCAACUCUUGUAUGUCCACAGCACGACAGGCGAUCUUUUCGCCGACGUCAUUGACGUGAUGGUUCUCAAAGAUAUUAGGAACAUCUGUGUUAUCUUGUACAUCAGGAGCAGUGUAAGCAUCGUCUCGUUGUGCAACUUCAUUAAACGAAUUCCUCUGUUCAAACCUUUGCAAUACUCUCCAGUCAUCGCUAAGUGCAAAUGUGUCUUCCAAGAAAAAUAUCUGUGUUGCUUGAUUUGCCAAAAUAAAAGGCUCGUUGGUCUGGUAUGCCUCCUUGACAUUGAUGGAUUUGAAAUAAUCAUCAGCUCUGGGUUUUGCGAUCCUGGAAAAUAGGUUAUACCAACGAUAGCACAACAGAACCACACACCGAUGAUCCUCGAAACUGGAGAUAUACUGCAACUGGACAAUGUCUGUUAUGUUAGCAUACAUUUCAGUUGUCUCUUUGUCAUACGUCUUGUGCAAGGGUGUUGUAGCGCACAUCUCCAACGACGCAAGAUUCAUAAUGUCUUACCUGAGUAUCAGGACCCAUUGCUAGUGAGUAAAGGGCAUCAUCAACUACCUCCCCAUCCUCCCGCAUCUUCUUAACCUAUGGUUAGAAAAUAGACAAGCUGAUCAUCUUAUGUACUCAAUAUAUUAAAAAAACUGACAGUGCACUUCAAAAGCUUACAUGGUUCUUGAACCAUUUCGCAAAUCCUGCCAUAACCAGUUUGUCAAUGUUUCUUGGAUUUUGCGGCUGUAACUCCUCUUUGUAGAUGCUACACAACAUAGUGAUCGUGUCAAGCAUCUAAAUAUAUAAGAAUGUGCUGCAAGUUUGGUAGAUUACGAUGUAUAAGCUGCAAUAAUGCACUUACUUGAUAUAAGGUAGUAUCUCAGGACAGUUAUUCAACACAUACCAAACCAAUUUGUCCAAAUCUUUAGGUUUGUCCUCUUGCCGACUCUUCCCUGUAACUCGAACAGAAUAAUCGAAGACAUUGAGCCCGGGAUUGUCUUCACCCACCUCUUUGCUAAGCUGAUCAGCUGUUUCAAUGUAUUUUGAGCAGAAUGUAAACGCUUCUGUAGCAAUGUAGGCCUCCGCAAUGGAACCCUCGGGUCUAGCUCUGUUCCUAACAUAGACCUUGAAAGUGCCUAGCUGCCUUUCAAUAGGGUACAUCCAGCCAUACUGUAUUGGACCUCUAAGUAGUGCCUCAUCAGGUAGAUGAACAACCAAAUGCACCAUCACAUCAAAGAAGGCUGGAGGAUAUAUCUUCUCAAGGUCGCAUAGGAUAGUUGGUAUCUUGUCUCUAAGACGCUCCAAAGCAUCUAUCCUGAUAUUCCUACUGCAGAGUUCCCUGAAGAAUUGUCCUAACUCCGCAACUGCUCUGUAUAAGUCAGGGCGGCCCAAUCCUCUAAGGAUAACAGCUAAACCCUUUGAAGUAGGACGCGACAGUCAUGAGUUUUCAACCCUUGUACCUUGUUUCCAUCCGCACUGAAUCUCCUUUUAGGGUUGGAAGAAAUCCAUGUGGGAAUCUCACACGUGACAGGACCUCGCAGAAUUCUUUUCUUUUUACCUUGUCCAAGACGUACACAGCUGGUGCCAUAUCCCGUGGUUUACCUUCAUCUUGCACCUACAAAUCCUGUCUGAUACCUAGGUGUGUCAAAUCAAUCCUAGAUUUUAAGGUAUCUUUCGUCUUGCCUUCAAUAUUAAGAAGUGUUCCGAUAAUGCUGUCACAUAUAUUUUUCUCGAUGUGCAUCACAUCAAGAUUAUGCCGCAGAUCCAAAUCUUUCCAAUACUCCAAGUCCCACAAAGUGGACCUGUGGGUAAACAAUAAUCUCUCUUCUGCCCUGCCAUGCUUCCUUUUCCCGCUACCAUUAUCAGGAUGGUUUCCUGGUGUAAUAUGCCUGACCUAAUAUAAUUCCACUUGCAACUCAUCGGCGGUGAGCCUCUUUGGCGCAUCACGGUUUUCAUGCUUUGCAUUGAACACAUGUCUUCGGUAUUUUCUAGGAAGCGGCUUGUCCUUGUCAAGGAAACGGCGGUGUGUAAUGUAACAGUUCUUGCUAAGUAUUGCGUAUGACAGCGGAUUCCUGUCACAGUGAACACAUGCAUUGUAACCAUGUGUCGUUCGCCCUGACAUAGUGCCCAAAGCCGGAUAAUCAUGGAUGCACCAAAUUAUAACAGCACACAGAAAUAAAUCAGCUGGUGGGCUGCUAUAUAGGUCUCGAGUGAGAACACCCUUCCAUAGUUGUUGAAGUUCCUCCACAAGAGGCUCCAUCAACAAAUCAAAAUCCUUUCUAGGACUUUUUGGACCUGGGAUGAGAAAGGCCAUCAUGUAGUUUGAUUCUUUGGUGCAGACAUUUGGAGGCAUGUUGUAAGGGAUAACAAGCACUGGCCACAUGCUAUAUGUGGUGCUCUGGUGGCCAAAUGGGUUAAAUCCAUCUGAAGCUAAGCCAAGUCUAAUGUUUCUCGGGUCAGCAGCAAACUCUUUGUGUUUAUCAUUGAAGCUUUUCCACUCACUACCAUGAGAUGGAUGGCUCAUUACAUUCUGAUCUCUGUACUCCUGGUUCCUAGAAUGCCACAGUACAUCCUCUCUUGUUUCAGCAUCAUGAAACAACCUCUGCAAUCUUGGUGUAAUUAGAAAAUGUCUCAGAACAUUAUGAGGAAUCCUCUUCACAGCAUCGCCAUCUUUCCAUCCUGAUGAUUUGCAUUUCGGGCAUUCACUUAAGUUGGCAUAAUCCUUUCGGAACAGAACACAAUUAUUCUUACAAACAUGGAUCAUAUCAUAUCCAAUUCCAACUGCACGAAGGAAAUUCUUCAUUUUACUGUAGGUGUGUGGCAGCUCAGAUGCAUCUGGUAAAGAUUCGCGGAAAGCAGCCAACAUCGCAUCGAAUGAUUUGUUGGUCAUCCGCUCAGAUGUCUUCACCUGAAGAAAGGUGAGCAUAGCUGAGAAUACUGACAACUUAUUUCCUGAGGUGACAGCAAUGUUGCAUUGUUCCAACAUGCGGGCCCACCAUUUUUCUUCUGCAGGUGAAAGUUCACAGAAUGCAUGAGAAUUUCGUAGCAUUGUUUCAAUGUUGGUCAAACUCACUGGCUCCGCCACCACCACCUCCUCCUCCUCUUCCACCUGAGCAUUAGGCAAAUCAAGAUGGUGAUCUGCUGCUUCCAUGUAGUCAAUAACAUUGACGUUCACAGCUUCACCAUGAUGAACCCACCUAGUAUAUGUGACCGACAUCCCAUACAAGUGUACAUGAUUUUGCAUAGUUGACUGGGGUCUUGUAACUGAAUUCAUACAACUGCUACAUGGGCAGAGCACAUCUGAUUUCGGACCACCGUACUCAGCCCUGAUAAAGUUCAUGAAGUUUUCAACACCCUCGACAUAUGCAGCGGAGAAUCUUCAAGCAGAAGUUAUCCAAGUCCUGUCCAUCUGUUAGACAUACAAAUUAGUUCUUCUGCUAGAUAUUACAGGAAAAACAUAUAUGCUUUUUUUUGAAGUCCAGAAAAAAAUACCUAGGUCGAUGUCUAAAGCUAUGGCAAGAUAUUUGGACGAGCAGAUCUAAGUAACGAAAUAUAUGUAAAGCUAAUUCAGCAAACAUAUUUGAGUGCCAAAUUAUGGCAGGAUGUUUCAGCAGUCAAUGAGACCGAGCACACAACCAUCAAACUAUCGAAGGCCAUAACAGCAACAAAGAUCGAGUAUAAAACGGUGUAGAGCUAUUUCACCUAACAGAUUGGCUACUAGACCAUGGCAAUCUACGUCACAAUAAAUAUAGGGCAGGAUAUUUUAGCAACUAAUCGGCCUUGGCAUGCCAUCUCAGCUAAGCAGAUUGAGUGCAGAACAGGGCAAUGAAGCUUCUUAAGCAGAGCAUAUUGACAGUAAACUACUUCCGCAAACAGUGAGAUUAACAGCGUCUAUCAGCUAACAUUCGGUGCUACACUGACAUGAAUGGGGCCUCAGUCUAGAAUGCGCGUACCGUGGGAGAAGCUGACCGCCGUGCGUCUCCACACGAACGUCGCGAGCGGUGGCGGCGCUGACUGCCGUGCGCCUCCACAAGAACGUAGCCAGAGGUGGCGGCGCGGCUAGAGGACGACAGUCUACGAGAGCGUACUGUGGGAGCGAGAGGAUAGCCGAACCGCGGCGCCGACGUAUCGGCGCGGCAGGGAGGGCGGCCUUGGUGGAGCGAAUGGAGUGGAGGGGGACANNNNNNNNNNNNNNNNNNNNNNNNNNNNNNNNNNNNNNNNNNNNNNNNNNNNNNNNNNNNNNNNNNNNNNNNNNNNNNNNNNNNNNNNNNNNNNNNNNNNNNNNNNNNNNNNNNNNNNNNNNNNNNNNNNNNNNNNNNNNNNNNNNNNNNNNNNNNNNNNNNNNNNNNNNNNNNNNNNNNNNNNNNNNNNNNNNNNNNNNNNNNNNNNNNNNNNNNNNNNNNNNNNNNNNNNNNNNNNNNNNNNNNNNNNNNNNNNNNNNNNNNNNNNNNNNNNNNNNNNNNNNNNNNNNNNNNNNNNNNNNNNNNNNNNNNNNNNNNNNNNNNNNNNNNNNNNNNNNNNNNNNNNNNNNNNNNNNNNNNNNNNNNNNNNNNNNNNNNNNNNNNNNNNNNNNNNNNNNNNNNNNNNNNNNNCGGUUGGCGGGGGGAGUUUGGCGCAUGGUCGGUUUCUCCAAGUGCAGUCCCACAUGUCAGUGAAGAGGCAAGUCGAAGCGCGUUCUGUUUGCGUGAGCCGUGUGCAGGACCGAACAUGUGCGGGGUGCAAUGCGACCGCGACAGGAGUGCUGUGUGUGUACCGCAUAUUUUCCUUUUAAACUAGGUGCUUCGCCCCCACAAAAAAAUAUGUUUCUUCGUGUGAUCCACCGAUACUACUACUAGUAAUCCGGUAAUCCCGACUAAAACGGCGCGACCGGGUCUUUUCCCACGCGAUAUGCUGAGAGGUUAGCUUAGUUGGGUUUUUUAGGACGAGUAAUGCUACACCUAUGUAAUCCCAGUUACGUAAUUAACAUAAUGUGAAACGUGUGAGCUGUUGAUUGUAGAUUGGGGGGAGGGAGGGGCCCACCACCAUGAAAAUCAGGGGAGGAGAGAGAGAUGCAAUUUAUGUUAACCCUUUUGUAGGUUCCCGUAGAUAUAGAAAGAUGUGUCCGAUCCUGCAAUAUAGGCCGUCCGAUCUAUAUCUAAUGGAUAGGAAGGAAACUAUGACAAUUUACUCGCACUCCUCUCCACAUUUGCAGAUAAGGCUUUCCCUCGUUCAUCCUUUUCUCCCACAAGAUCUUGAUCUUCCGUGCAACGCACGUGCAUCUUGCUAGUACUCCUACAAUAUGUAUAUUAUUGUGAAAGUUCAUAUACACCGGCCGAGAUUAAUGCAAACACGGCAUAUUUUCAUUACAUUUCGAACUUUUAUAGGACAAAAAAAAAUAAAAGAAACCCGACCCUAAACCUAUUCUACGGCGGCGACCGACAUCCUCCAUCUGUGAUCUCCAUGUACGGGGGAGGGGUUCAAGACCCGUGAAGUGAAGGUGCGGUCUCCGACGAGGAAAAGUAGAACAAGGGAGAUGGACCGGCCAGUUGGCACACCAUGCGCUACCGCCUCCCAUGCCCUACUCAUCCUCGGAGGAGUCCCCGACCUCGGCGGUGCCGGACGUUGGACGGUGGCAAGUAGGACGCGUGGCUGACGGUGCUCCCGUCGUCGGCCGCCAGCGUGGCCACCGCUUGUGCGGCGACUUCAGCGAGGGCGGCGACCUCGAGCUCCAUCCCUGAAGACAAGCUCUCCCGCAGAGCGUUCGCGCUUGUGGUCAUGGCGGAUGUGGUUCCAGGUAGGAGGAUGAUGCGCUAUGGUGUGGAGGUUAGCUGGGCGUUGCCGCUUUAAGUAGCGCAUUCCGGUGAGGCCAAGCGUCCGGGUGCAUCAUUAAGUCGCCAGAGUUGUUCCUCGGGCACCGAGCCUCUUAAUGACAACAUACGAACGGACGGCAUGAAUGCGGGCAACUGGCGCCGGCUGGGAACGCACCGCGUGACGGCGCGAGGGACGAGGGUUUUGGUGUGCCAGGGUAGUCAGCUACGGUCGUGGCAACGUUGGAGAUGCCCUUUGCUCACAUGCGAUCCCCACAUGUCAUUGAAAAAGCAAGAUAACCCGGCAUGAUCUCAGGUCCAGAGGAUUCAGUUGGCUGUCAGGACCCCGAUUCUAAGUCACACCGAUCUAGCCUUUAACACCUCAUAUCACUUUGCGGCCUCACACACGGUAUUCCCACGGGUGUCGCCUUACCAUGGCCCGGGACCGUUUGCGCCUUUUGGCUCACGUAUAUGAUAGUGUCGCUAGCAUCCAUAUGACAGAGAACCCGGGCCAACAUGACUAGUCGUGAACCCAAAGUGGCACUAACUUAUGGGGACAUGCAUACAUGAAUCAACAUCAAGCAUUUCGGUCAGCAGUGUGCGAAUCCGGGCUGUAGCACUAGGCUAACAGGACUCCGGGAACCCGAGCUGUAGCAGCCUAGGCAGGACUCCGGAUCUCACCGCGUGACAUUUCCCCGAAGGGACAGACACAGUAACAAAGGGAAUCACAUGCCGGCCAGUCAAUUGUUCCGGAGCAGUAGUGCUGGGCUAGCAGGACUCCGGUGAAUGGGGCUGUAGCAGACUACUAUGGCUCAUGGAAGGAAAAGACUACAUUUCCCCAUAAGAGAGGCUACCAAGGAUAAACAACUAGGUUGUCGGACCCCACACAUACCAAGUGUCGGUGUCAAAACCGGCGGAUCUCGGGUAGGGGGUCCCGAACUGUGCGUCUAGGCCAGAUGGUAACAGGAGGCAGGGGACACAAUGUUUUACCUAGGUUUGGGCCCUCUUGAUGGAGGUAAAACCCUAAGUCCUGCUUGAUUGAUAUUGAUGAUAUGGGUAGUACAAGAGUAUAUCUACCACGAGAUCAAGGAGGCUAAACCCUAGAAGCUAGCCUAUGGUAUGAUUGUUGUUCGUCCUACGUACUAAAACCCUCCGGUUUAUAUAGACACCGGAGAGGGCUAGGGUUACACAGAGUCGGUUACAAUGGUAGGAGAUCUACAUAUCCGUAUUGCCAAGCUUGCCAUCCACGCCAAGGAAAGUCCCUUCCGGACACGGGACGAAGUCUUCAGUCUUGUAUCUUCAAGUCCAGGAGUCCAGCCGAAGGUAUAGUCCGGCUAUCCGGACACCCCCUAAUCCAGGACUCCCUCAGUAGCCCCUGAACCAGGCUUCAAUGACAACGAGUCCGGCACGCAGAUUGUCUUCAGCAUUGCAAGGCGGGUUCCUCCUCCAAGUACUUCAUAGAAGAUUUUGAACACAAAGGUAGUGUCCGGCUCUGCAAAAUAAGUUUCCACAUAUUGCCAUAGAGAGAAUAAUAUUUACACAAAUCUAAUCUGCUGACGUAUUCCGUAGCGUGACAUCACACCACAGCCAAGUCUUUAUUCGAAUCGUUUUACUGUCCCACCUCAGCGCGUUUAGCGAGGCGGUUUCCUUGGCACGUCUUGUCAAAGCAGAGAUCGUGUCCCCUUAUUCCAGGAUUCUCAUCAAUACGGGCGUGGGUAACCCAACCGUACCUGUUGGUAUGUUUUCUCGAUCAAAGGCGAGUCCCAAACGGUCACGGGAAGGGCCCUUGGUAUUCAUCCUCUUAUAAAGAGACCAAGGCCUUACUCCUUUCUUUCUAUCUCAAACGAGUUCGCCCUUCGCCUCGAGUUCCAACACCCAAGGCUCCAGAUUUCAGGUGCUUCGGACCUUCGACAAUGUCCGGUUCCGACCUUCGAGGCCGAGGACGUGCUGAAGUUGAGAGAGGCCAGGUUCUUGACCGGCAAAAUCUGGCAUAGGCUGCCUGCUCAAGGGCAGGUCAUUCCCCCUCCCUAGACUAGUGAGAGCAUGGUGUUCAUGUCUCACUUCCUUCGGGGGCUAGGCUUCUCGAUGGAUCCCUUCGUGAGGGGGCUCAUGUUUUAUUAUGGGUUGGAAUUUCACGACUUAGCUUCGGAGUCCAUCCUCCAUAUUUCCUCAUUCAUCGUCGUGUGUGAAGCCUUCCUCCGUAUUACUCCUCACUUCGGACUAUGGCUCAAGACCUUCAAAGUAGAGACGAAGAUGAUCGAGGGACGGCACGCGGAGUGCGGAGGUGCUUUUAUAAGCAAGAAUGCUAGGGCUCCAUGGCCCGAGGGCUCUUUUCAAGAAGAGUCCAGCUUAUGGCAACGAGAGUGGUUUUACAUCACUGCUCCCAGGAGCACCAAGUUGGUGGCGCCACCUGCAUUUCGCUCGGGACCCCCACCACAGCUAGUGUCAUGGGUCAAUAAAGGACUGGAUUGGGGGCCGUCCAAGGACGUGCCCUUGUUGCAGGGCCGCAUUCGAAAUCUCCUAGAAAGAGAUAUCAGUCUAGUCGCGGUGACACAGGUUAUGCUGAUUCGCCGAGCUCUGCCCUGCAAACGUCGCCCCCUCCGCCUGUGGGAGUUCAAUCCGGAGGGACCAUGAGCUCUCCAACAUUUUAUGGGCGCGACGCCCGUGGAGAUGUACAAAUUGUUCUUCGGAUCACAAGCAAUGUGUCCGGACUUGACCGAGGACGCAGGUCUGAGCUGCAACCGCCCGGAUACUCAAGUAAGUAGCCCUGUGCCCGGACUCGCAAUCCGCAUAUUUAUCAUAAAAUUGCCCUUAAAAGAGUUGUCCUCUAAACAGGAGUGGAUAGCAAACGCAAAGCUAAUCAGGUGUCUGGCCCCCCUCCCCGAGACCACGCCGGGUCCCGUGCUAGUCAGGAUGUUGGAGGUUGUGCCUUCGGAGGAAAGCGAGGGAGGGGACAAGGAAGCUACGGCCUCCUCGAACGAGGCUGUUUGGAAGGGAGGAAUCGAAAAUUCCUCUCCUUAGGGGAAGAAGAGGACCGCCUCUGACGACCCGGAGACCAUGGCCUCAAAGCGGAGGAAGAAAUCUUCGUCAGAGGAUCCUGCGCCGGGGGAUACUUCGGCCGAAUUAUGUCCUCAAGGGGAUCAGCCCUCCACCGAGCCGUAAGUAGAGAGGAGUUUUUAUUUUUAAGAAAUGAGAGAAAUCCUUGCUUUAUAUCUGAGAAAAGUAAUCGAAGAUUUACCUUGUAGCUCGGACCUUUGCCCUUUUCAGCAAAGCUCGUCUUCGGGGGAUAUUCUUCCGGAGAUGAUGGAGAGUGGAACGCCUCCCCCUGCCGUACCGCCUUGCGAGGCGGGCGGCCCUGAGGUAUUGUCGCGGAGGGCUUCUUCGAAUCAGGCAGGGCUGGAAGGUAGCCAUAUGGCCCCCCAAAGCCCUUUGUGUCCGGCCUCCGAAAGGGGCCAUCAGACGAGUCCGGCACCCUCUGGUGCACGGUCGGAAGAGCUGAAGGAUCUGCUAGGGCGAGCAUCUAUCUCAGAGGAGCACCGUGCAUUGAUGGGUACGGUGAUUGGGAGGAUUUCAUCCGCGGAGAGCGGAUCGCACGAGGCCGUCAGGAGUUUACUGACAGGUUUUGAGGUACGUGAAAUAAUGUACCCUUUUUGGACAGUUGCGCAUAAAUAAGAUGCGCCCUGUGUAGAUAGUAGCCCUUGAGACUCUGUGUGUUGUCCAAAGUGAUGGCGUGCAGAGGAUCAUAAUCCCAGGUCUAAUAUGCCGCCUUCAUACGUAGGUGGCAAAGUGUCGGGUGGCCAGCCGGACUGAUGAAUUUGCCGAGCUAAAGCGGCAACUUGACGUGGCAGAUACCGACAUCGCGCUUGUCAACAAGCGGCUUGACAAGGCAGAAGGUAUGUAAUUACUCCGGCGGCACCUCGUAAGAGGAGCUUUAUGCCAGUAUCUUACAAUGUGUGCGCUUGAUGCAGAUGGUGCUGCUACCAUGGAGAAUCUUCGAGCGGAACUUGCCCGAGCCAAGGAGCAAGCUAGAAAAAGUGAUGCUGCUGCUAGAAAGGCAAUUGAAGAGCUGAAAGCUGAACAGGCUGCUGACUGCUGAAGCAAGAAGGAAAUGGCCAAGAUGGCUGUGAAGCUGAAGAGCACUGCUGACCAUUGCAAGCUUCUUGAAAAAGAAUAUCAGGCGGAACAGACGGACCUGGAGAAGGCCGUUGCCGAUGCCAAGGAUGCUCGCUAUGCGAUGAGAGCUAUGAAGGAGGAGCUGCGUCAGGCCGGAGAGAUCGCGGCUGAAAGCCCUUUUUGCUAUGGAGGAAGUUCUGUGAUCCUAAACAUGCUCUGUUAAACCGGAUGUGGAGUACAGCGGACACCUAUCUGGAUUUGGCAGCGAGUGCCGCAGAUGCGGCCGAACACUUCCGAGAUCAAGAAGAUCGCGAAGUGGAAAAGCUCUUCUGGUCGCAGUUCCACAAUCCAGAGCAUCCACUGUCAUUGGCCGAUCAUUUGGCCAAAUGGGCCGAGCUAAAUAGGUUGUCCAGACUCGCCAUGAAGUAUGUCAUGAGUCAUCGGUGGCCAGAGAGGCCAGAGCCAAAAAUUUAUUUCAACUUGGUGCAGCAGUUCCUUGGUGCGGCGCCGCAUAUCAAUGCGAUGAAGUGGUCAGCGUGCAUAGAGGGUGCGCGGAUGGCUCUUGCCCGUGUCAAGACAUACUGGGCGGAAAUGGAGGCCACCGCUGUUGCAUCCCCAGACUCGGAUGGAAGCCGAGUACCUGCUGAGCACUAUUUUCAGGAAGUUCUGCAAGGCGCUCGUUUAAUAGAGACGCAGUGCUUGAAGGAUACUAUAUUUGAAUAGCAUAUAUUAUUGUAAAACAAUAUUUUGAUAAAUUGUAGAAGCUUUUUAUACGUGUGCCUGCAAGUAUUAUAAUACCUCCUGUUCGGUCGUUUAACAUAUAUGUAUAUAUAAUCUGAAAGAUGGCAGUCGUCGGCUUCAGCCCCCACGCACAUAAUGCGGGGGUGCUCGCAGAAGGUGCAUUUUCACACUUGAUCCAACGUCUUGGUCCUACAAAGGAGGUGAUAGCGCAGCGAACUAGGCAAUCAGACUAUGAUGCUUUAUCACUUUCACUUAGCCAUAGGAGUUUGACAGUGAGGCUACUUAUAUAGCCCCUGGUGGCGCCUGCGCUCGCCCGAACUCGGGGCGCAUAUGUGCCUGGCUGGGAAACGACCCUUCAUUAAUGCGGAGGAAUCCUAAAGAUUCUGGUAAGUCAUCGAGUGGUUGACCAGUCUCACGCUAUAUCAUGACAGCCAGUUUUCGGCUUUCUCUACUGAGGUGCUCGCCUGGCCAAACCGGGGCACAAUCGCAGUAGUUCUCCUGGUGCCGCCUUACCCGAUAGAGUGGAACAUAAGGCAGCCGAACACAGGAGCUGGGCAAACACAACAUUUGACCAAAGACAUGAUUCGGAGCUGAUGCAUAUAAUGCCAAACUCGCGACGCCGAACACUCCCUAAGGUAUUCGGUCUUUAUGAGGGCGGGCGGGAUAACACCCUUAGUAAUAAGCCCCUAGUGUCCAGGUACGCGCAAAACUCUGACGUGGCCACAUGCCAAAACGCCAGCCUCCUCCUUGGUUAUACCAAGAAACUAGGGGAUGUGUAUCAACAAGAGACACUAAAAAAGUUUUACGCAGGGUCUUAAUCUAAAAAGAAUCCUUGGAACGGGUCCCUGCUGCACGUCUGCGCCUGUGUCUCCGUUGUGCCGUAUCCUGGACGGGUGUAGCACGGUGUUCAUCUGUAAAAGAUAGGAACUUAGUUGAAGAAAGAUCGUGCCAAACAUAAUUUAUACUAAAUGAACAAAGUAGAAAUUGAAAUGGGUAAAAUUGAGCUUUAUUGUCUCCUGUUAUAUAUGCACGGAGCCCCUAUUACAGGGUUAUACGGCUAUUAAGCCUUUAUCAAUUGUAUGUUUAUGCCGGACUCGUCUAGCCAUGCCCGUGGUCUUGACGACCUGUUGAGGUGCUUUGGCUAGUGAAGCCGCUUUAUUGUGGGGCUGUCAAGGCAGCCGCACUGUCUUCCGCGUGGGAGGAACACUCAAUGUUUUCCCUUUAAUGAGAUGAUGCCUCGUGGAUCGGGUAUCUUAAGCAUAAGAGAUGCAUAAUGCGGUAUUGCGUUAAAGCGGGCGAAAGCUUCGCGUCCCAGCAGUGCUUGAUAUCUACUUGAGAAUGGGGCGAUGUGGAAAGUUAGCUGUUCAUGACGGAAGUUAUCGGGGGAGCCGAACAUAACUUGUCACAACCCUAGCUUAGUUUUGCUUACUCUUGCAUGAUCAUCAUGGCAUCAUGUUUUUUUAUGAAACUGAAAUGGGGAUGACAGAACCCCCAGCACCCCCCUUAAACUAACUAGGGUUUACUAAAAUCUUUUUCAAUGAUUUCAAAAUGCCCUUUAAAAAUGUUCAUCAUUUCUGGAUCAAGGUGGAAGCAUCUACCGAAAAUGGUUGACAUUUUUGCAGGGCAUAUUUGGACUUUGAAUUAAUUCAACCAUAUUUGAAUUGGAGCUAUUUAAAUGCUAUAUAUAUUUUAGUUUCUCCAAAAAUGUUGGAAAUUGUUAAGGGUCACUGGAAUAACUCAGAAAGCGCCCAUAAUUAUUUCCAGGAUUUUAUGAAUGGUUUACUAUUUAAUUUUAAACCAGAACAGAAAAACAGAAAUUAGAAAAGGUAACAGAAAUAAAAGAGAGAGACAGAGGAGCUACCUGGGCUUACCUGGCGCUCCAACUGGCCCACCUCUGUUGCAGCCCAACUGGGCAAAGCCAGCCCGGCCCACCAGGGGCAGCACUGUCUUCUUCCUCCCGCCAGGAGGAGAAGCAGCUGCGUGCCCGAUGCGCAGGUGAGCCGCACUGGCUCCUCCUUGCCUNNNNNNNNNNNNNNNNNNNNNNNNNNNNNNNNNNNNNNNNNNNNNNNNNNNNNNNNNNNNNNNNNNNNNNNNNNNNNNNNNNNNNNNNNNNNNNNNNNNNNNNNNNNNNNNNNNNNNNNNNNNNNNNNNNNNNNNNNNNNNNNNNNNNNNNNNNNNNNNNNNNNNNNNNNNNNNNNNNNNNNNNNNNNNNNNNNNNNNNNNNNNNNNNNNNNNNNNNNNNNNNNNNNNNNNNNNNNNNNNNNNNNNNNNNNNNNNNNNNNNNNNNNNNNNNNNNNNNNNNNNNNNNNNUCGUCCUCUCCCCUCUCUCCCUGGACCUCUUUCCCCUCCUCUACUCUCUCUCUCGCGGCAACCCGAGCGCAGCCAUCACCACCACCGCCAUUUAGCAUGGCCACCGAGCUCCCCAGGAGUCGUUUCCGUGCCCCCGUGCUCCACCCCCAACCCCAAGCACCUCUCCACCGACCAACGCAAGGUUGGAUGACCCGAGGACGACGCCGCGACCUUUCUUCCCCGUCCAUGGCCGCCGGAUGCUGCCAUCCGAUUCGCCGUCGUCCCUGCCUCCCCGAGCUCCACGACUGGCUCUUUCGAACCACGGUGAGCUACUGACCAUUUCCCCUCUGACCCCUUGCUUGCUCCCACCCUCUAGCCAUAGCCCCGAGGUCACCCGAGGCCGCCGUCCGCCAUGGCCGGCGAGCCCGCGCUCCCAAGCCUCUCCUCCUCGCUCCAGGGGCAUCGACACGCUCCUGGCGCCUCCAGGAGGCUGCCUAGCCACUACAUUUGCUCACUCGAGCACUAGAGCCCCAGACCCGCUCGAGCCCAACUCCGGCCACCGCUUCUGCCCGCCACCGUCGCCGUGACACACCGUUCCUGACAACCCCGCUUGCACCGUUGGAUGUGGCCGAGCGCCAGCUUUCCAACGGGACCGACCGCGGCCGAAACCGUCCCCUGUAGCGCUUCCCACGUCGUCUCCGUCGUCGGCUUUGGUCGCCGCCAUCUGAACUCUGGCGAGGCUGAUGUGGCGCCGUCAUUAGGGGCUAAUCACGCCCUAAUUAACCCCCCUUGCUCACUAACAAAUGGGCCCCACGCCCUAAUUAACCCCAGCUUUAUUUCUGCUUAGAUUAGUCAUAACCCCGCGGGACCCACGCGUCAGCUUUGACCUUGUUGACGUGGCCUUUGACCGGCCCCACACGUCAGUGACUCAUGCCAGCGGUGUGUCACUGACCAGUAGGCCUCACUGGUCAGGUUUGACCUGGCCAGCCAUAGUUGACCUGAUGAUGUCACUCUUACGUCAUGCUGAUGCAGUAAAACCUUUUCUGGAUAUUAAAUAAAUAUAAAUGAUUUAUUUAUUUUCAAAAAAUAUCCAAAACUUUGAAAAAUCAUAUAAAAUCAACCGUAACUCAGAAUGUAAUAAUUUAUAUAUGAAAACUUAUCAAAAAAUUCAGGGAAUCUGUUUAUGGCAUUUUCAUGCAUGUUUGAACAAUGUUUGUCCUCUGUUUUGGACAAAACAAAUAAAUGGCAUUUAACUAAUCAUAUAUGGAGUUUGAAUUUGAAUCUUGUAUUCAAACCAACUUCAUUUAAUUGUGUUGCUAGUUGCAUUAGUCCGAUCAACAGCAUAUUGCAUGUCACAUUCAUGCAUCAUAUUGUCGCAUUGCAUUGAUUGUGUCCUUCCCUGUUUACCGGUAACCGUCCGCUCUCAGACGACGAUGUUUCCGACGACGUGAUCGAUGACACCAAUGAAGAACUAUAUUAUCUUCAGAAGUGCCACGCAAGCAAAACUCCCUUGUUCAUUCCGAUACAAUCCCACUCUCUCGCUCCUACUCUCUUUUACUACAUUAGGACAACAAUGAUUCAACUGUUACUUGUUGCGGUAGUUGAACCCCUUUAUCCUCUGCAUGUCCUGUCAUUGCCACAGUAAAUAGAUGAAAACCACUAACAUGAGUAGGAGUUGUUUGAGCCCUGAUGUGCCUACUCAUUCAUUCUUGUUUGUCAUGCCUGCUACUGCUUAGAGUUGAGUCAGGUCUAAUUCAUCGGGGAUGAAUUGGAAUAGUGAUGAACAUGUCCUACUAUGUGAGCUAAGUGUGUGAACACAAUUUGGUAAAGGUAGCGGUGAGAGGCCAUGUAGGAGUACAUGGUGGGUUGUCUCAUUCAAACUGUCCUUAGGAACUGAGUUCUGUGUUUGUGAUCCAUGAAUAGCUACUACCACGCAUUGGGCCCGAAACCAAUGGACCCUCUCGACUUAUUAACUGGCCUUGCCCUCUGUCUAGGAGUUGCAACUAGUUUCUGGUGUUUGUAGGAUAUGUGUUGGCGGCCGUGUGUAGCGCUGACCCUAGUGGUGGGCUAUGAUGCGGUAGAUACAGCUCGCACGGUGUAUCGGGCGCCCGUUUGGUAUCUCGGGAACCCUGCACACAUCGUUUGGGGCUGUGAGCGAAACUCUGACCGGAUCUCCUCGCGGAUGGAACCCGAAUAGGCGAUAAACCUGGACUAGAGACUUGUGCGGUUAGUCAGGUCGUGGCCGACUCCCCCGCCAGGCUUCCGCUUGAAGGUUGCCGAGAUACAUGACCUGUACAUGGGGGUAAGUGGUGAGAGCGUGUGUGAAGAGGUACACCCCUGCAGGGUUAUAAAUGAUCUAUUCGAAUAGCUGUGUCCACGGUAAAGGACUUCUGGGUUGCCUAUAACAGUUCAUAGACAAGUGAAAGUGGAUACUCUAAAAUGCGCAAGAUAAGCGUGAGUGUUAUGGAUGGCGUUCUCGUAGGGAGACGGGAGCGGAUCCAUAGUGGUGUAUUGAUAUGGUGAAGAUGUGGACUCGUGUGCGCCACCUCAAAAGAGUUGCUUGCAGUCAUAGUUCAGGUUAGCCACUGAGUCAAAGCUGGCUUGCUGCAGUUAAACUCCACCAUCCCCUUUAUUGAUACCGAUGCAUAUGUAGAUAGUUCUGAUGUAAGUCUUGCUGGGUACAUUUGUACUCACGUUUGCAUAUUUUAUGUUUUGCAGAGAGACGUCAGUCUCGCUAGUAGUUUCGUGUGAACUUCGACAUUUAGCUUGAUACCUCAGCUAUGAUCUUGUGCCCUCGGCAGGAUCUGGUAGAUAGUCAGGCUUCUUAGACUUUUCCAUUUGUAGAUGUCUAUACUCAGACAUGUUAAGCUUCCGUUUGUGCCAUGAUUUGUAUGCUAUGAUUGUUGGGUCAUGAGACCCAUGUUUGUAAUAUCUCGCUCCUCGGAUCCUAAUGAAUAAUACUUGAGUCGUAGAGUUAUGUUGUGAUGCCAUGUUGUAUUUACACAUAUCGAGCAUAUUGUGUGUAUGAUUGAAAUGCUUGGUAUGUGUGGUAUCCGACAAUUUAGUUGUUUAUCCUUGGCAGCCUCUCUUAUGGGGAGAUGUAGUCUAGUGCUUCCAUGAGCCAUAGUAGUCCGCUACAGCCCAGUUCACCAGAGUCCUGCUAGCCCAGCACUACUGCUCAGGACACUUGACUGGCCGGCAUGUGUUUCACUUUGUUCUUGUGUCUGUCCCUUCGGGGAAAUGUCAUGCGAUGAAAUCCGGAGUCCUGCCUAUCCUGCUACAGCCCGGGUUCCCGGAGUCCUAUUAGCCCAAUGCUACAGCCCGGAAUCACACGCUGCUGACCGACAUGCUCGAUGUGAUUCAUGUAUGCCUGUCCCCAUAGGUUAGUGCCGCUUUGGGUUCACGACUAGCCAUGUCGGCCUGGGUUCUCUGUCAUAUGGUUGCUAGCGACACUAUCAUAUACGUGAGCCAAAAGGCGCAAACGGUCCCGGGCCAUGGUAAGGCGACACCCGUGGGAAUACCGUGCGUGAGGCCGCAAAGUGAUAUGAGGUGUUACCGGCUAGAUCAAUGUGACUUGGAAUCGGGGUCCUGACAGCUUUGGUAUCAGAGCCUGACUGCCUGUAGGAUUACCAAGCCAAACUGGUCGAAGUUGAGUCUAGAAAUGCUUUAGUUAUAUAAGGGAAUUGAUUGUGGAAGGGAACGUAAGGCUCUUUUUACUCCUUAUACCUCAUGGCCUUCUGAUCUGAGUCAACCUCUUCUCUUCUACGGGGAUUAAGAACUAGGGCUUCUCAUCUAUCUAUCAGGAUGACGAGUUACUAUGUUAGAGACUUAUAGGAUUGAUGUAUUCAAGCCUCUGUUCAGUUCCUACUACUUCCAUGUGUUCUUAGUUGAUCUCAGAACCUUGAUAUGGUGAUGUUGAGCGGUCAUGCCACUAUUUUGCAGGAUGUCUCAAAUAUUUUUGAGCAUUUACAGCCGUUAUGCUAUCCGAGUCAUCCCAGGUUUCUAACUAGUCUGAUGCAUUUGCAAAUUCCUUACUCCCAUUACCGAUGUUCCUUUGGGCCAGUUUAACCACACUAAUCAGUGAGUUGAGGUACUCUAUUACCUUGACAUAUAUGUUGGAGGUAUUAUUAUGACCCUAGGUGUCUUAGGGAGUCACCUAGUAAUCUAUCAAUGCUUUGUGUUCCCGGUGUGAUGAUUCUGGCCACCAUUCUCGAAAGCAUCCCGUGAUGCCAUUUAGUAGUAGGCAUUCUGCUCUUGGGUUCUUGACCCAAGAUUCACUCUACUUACCUCGUGUCGAUAGUGUUGCUCGUACCUUUAGGAUAUUAGUAACCUUUGCAUUAGUCCUCGAGGUCUGUGGUAUAUCAUUCUUCCAAAUACCAUGAAUCAUCCUUGGCAGAAAAUUCGUUUGAAUCAAAAGAUCACAACCAGAGUGCUCUUAAUGAGUUCUCCAUUCUACAUUGUGAAUCUAUCAGUUCUACCUUUCUGCAUGGGUUAUCCGGGAGAAAUGUUGAGCUUUGCUCAACAUACUAACCUAUAUAUCCACAACUCAGAAAGAUAUAUGUUCCCUUGAGUUGUCCCUCUUCAUUUGUAUUCCAAUCAUCAUCUAUCAAUUGAUAGUCAGGAGUAAUUGUGCAUCCGUGUUAUCGAUGCUUAUUAUUCCUGUGGUGAGUCAAGCCAUUCUAGUUCAGAAUGACUAGGAGAAACAAACUCCAGUACCUCAUCCAUUUCUAGGAUUGGGUCAAAGCAGUUGUAUUCCGCAGAUCAAAUGCAAUCAAGCUUUGAUUCUGUUCUACCCCGAAGUAUUACCCACUUUUAUGUCAGGAACGUCAUGAGAAUUGCACCUUCUCUUAUGAAUUUUGAUGCAGCGAUACUCUCGCCAUCAUCGUUCAUUCCUCGAUCCCGUGUUGCCAUAACCGGAAUGCCGACAAGUGAACUAUGAUGUGUGAAAUCGGUAAUCCUAGAAGCCUCCUUGCUUGGUAGUUAAUGGACAAUAUUCUCAUUCUUAGCGUGUUGGUUAUUGAAUCAUCAUCCUAAGAUUGAUCGUGCUACCUAGUCCUUAUUUCCGGUGCACUCUUCGAUCAAUGAGUUAGGGUUGUGUCAAUCCCUCAAUCUUUUGAUCAUAUCAACUUGCCCUGAAAAGCAAGGUUAUUCUCGAGCUUAGUAACAUAUCGGUGGUUCGUGACUCUCCGAGUAUCUUCUCAGAAGUGCUACCAGGUUGUCACCUGACCGCUAUGUUAAGUUCAGGAUCAAGUUGGUUUCUUGUAAACCACCCCUUCUCCAAGAAUCCGUGUUGGAUAUCUCUGAGCUGGUUGGUUAAGCUAAACAACAACUUGGAGAGUUGGAAGAUAGAAACUUGUCUGACUUAGUUCAAGUUAAGGGAUAUCCUUGUGUGUGUGUGUGCUGAAGGAAGGUGAUAUCUCCAUCGAUUGGUCCUCGUGAUCAGUUGUUGGAUCUAUUGCCUUGUCAAAACUUUGACUUGAGUAUGGGCUAUCGUCAAGUCAAAUAAGAAACAACGAUGUUCGUAAUGUUUUCUUACUCGUGGAUGAUCCCUCGAGCAUAAUGUUUUCUUACUCGUACAUCUUUUGGUCUGACCAAUACUAUCACAUUGUUCACAUAAUGGUGGAAGUCCAGUGAUAUGGAAAUUCCGAUGAGUUGCUGUUGAGCCCAUCAGCAGCAUUUUGUCUCCUCCAUGAUCUAUGUUGAACAUCCAGCUAGUGUUGAAAACUUGUGUAAGCAUUUUCUUCAUGCCCGUUCAUGUAGAAUAUGUUUGGAUGAAAGUAGUGACCUCCUCUAAGUUCACGUGCAAACGAUGCAAGUUGCCACUGUGAGUUCGAGAAAGGUUGUUUUUGUUUCUGCUGGUACCAUCCCAAGUCAGUCAUGCAUGUGCGAAGUAUGCUAUGGUUUGAUAGGCUCGCUACCUCCAUUCCAUUUGUAUUCCCUACCACACCAAGCCACUGGCUGAUUUGUUCAGGGAAAAGAAGUUUCUUCAUAAGAGCUAAUCAUAUGACUUAUGCAAGGACUUCGAUAUCCUUGAUGAUGGUUCCCAACUAGGACUCGCUAGUGUUUCAUUGUAAGACUACUAUGUGGUCAUGCUUGUCUGGGACAACAUGUUCACAUGUGUUUAGUAGAACCAGCUCAUGUUUUGGAGCUUACUACCACAGUCCAUUUCCUGAGAAUCUCGCAAUGACAUCUCGUCGAUUUGUGUUGCAAACUUUCAUUUUCUUUCUAGACUUGAUGAGUCUGGAAUAUACUAACACCAACCAGAUCUGAAUCUCAGGCAGAUAUGAUGGUUGGAACAUACUCCAAGAAAUAUAUUGUUGGUCCCUCUAUAACCGGAAAGUGGAUGUCGUGGCCAACACACCAAACCGGAAGGCCUAUUAUUGUAGUAUCCUGGUUGAAGAAGUUGGCCACCUCCCCAUAAGGAUCUCGCAGGAUCUUCCUCCGUAGUUAUUCCUUAUGGAUUCUUGAGCUUCCGAAGUCCGACCUUUUACUUGAUGUUCUAGAUAUCAAACCAUAUCUAUGAAUGGAUAACGGUAGCACAUCAAGUAGAACAUUAGAGGCGGAGUGCUAAAUGCCUCUCAGUCGAUCGUCCAGAUUCUGUUCCCUUAGCCUCGCUAAGGGAAGAUCUGAGAAGGUGUUAUCCUCCUUUGUAUCCGCAUCAUCAAUCACUAGUCAUCAUGGUAGUAUGUCGUGUUGCCAGGAUCCUCGCCACGGAUGUUGGUAGAACCUUGAUGAAUAUGGAAAUGCUCAAGUUCUUGAGAGCAUGCGUAAGCAAAAUCAUCCCUUGCGUUGUCUUCAACAAGGUAGUACACAUCAUCCAUCCUAGUCCGAGUAUGCCAUCUCUUUGAGCUAUCUCAAACGAUCAAUUGUAAAUUGCCUUAAGCUGGUAUGAAGAGUUUCAAUGAUCUCUAAAUCAAAAGUAAUUCUUUUUGCCACUUAAGGGAAUAUUUCUGCGAGUCACCUUCCUUAAGAUGUCUCGUUAUGGUAUCAUGGCAAUUAUCUCCUCGCUAAUUUGAAACCAUGCACCAUCCUACUUAAGCGUGGAAUUGUUGCCUACCAAAUUUUAACCUUUAUCAUCUGCUUCUUUCCAUCACCCCUGAUGUGUGUUUCGUGUCUCAGCUCAAGAGAUGUUUUAUAUCUCACUCCAUGAGUUGAUCUUGAGUGCUCGAUCUCCAAGGAGAUCGAUUCCUGUAGAAUUUAUUCCUGUAGAAUUUCUUUGUGCCGUCAUCAUGCUGGAUGAAGAUCCCGAAAGCAAAGACGUCAAGAUCAAGAUGACGCAAUGAGUCAACAUCCUCGGGAAGGGUAGUUGGACCGAGAAGACUGCGAUAGUUUUGUGACUCCCCUUCCUUCUUACCUCAGGUCUUGAAUCUCGGGCCAAGAUUCUUGUUUAGUGGGGGUGAGUUGUCACAACCCUAGCUUAGUUUUGCUUACUCUUGCAUGAUCAUCAUGGCAUCAUGUUUAUUUUUUUAUGAAACUGAAAUGGGGAUGAUAGAACCCUCAGCACCCCCCCUUAAACCAACUAGGGUUUACUAAAAUCAUUUUCAAUGAUUUCAAAAUGCCCUUUAAAAAUGUUCAUCAUUUCUGGAUCAAGGUGGAAGCAUCUACCGAAAAUGGUUGACAUUUUUGCAGGACAUAUUUGGACUUUGAAUUAAUUCAACCAUAUUUAAAUUGGAGCUAUUUAAAUGCUGUAUAUAUUUUAGUUGCUCCAAAAAUGUUGGAAAUUGUUAAGGGUCACAGGAAUAACUCAGAAAGCACCCAUAAUUAUUUCCAGGAUUUUAUGAAUGGUUUACUAUUUAUUUUUAAACUAGAACAGAAAAACAGAAAUUAGAAAAGGUAACAGAAAUAAAAGAGAGAGACAGAGGAGCUACCUGGGCUUACCUGGCGCCCCAACUGGCCCACCUCUGUAGCAGCCCAACUGGGCAAAGCUAGCCCGGCCCACCAGGGGCAGCACUGUCUUCUUCGUCCCGCUAGGAGGAGAAGCAGCUGCGUGCCCGAUGCGCAGGCGAGCCGCGCUGGUUCCUACCUGCCUGCGUGCCCCCCUCGACUGCCUGGUCGCUGCCACGCACACCCCCCGACCCCCUCAUCCUCUUCCCUCUCUCCCUGGACCUCUUUCCCCUCCUCUGCUCUCUCUCUCGCGGCAACCCGAGCGCAGUCGUCACCAUCGCCGCCGUUUAGCAUGGCCACCGAUCUCCCCAGGAGUUGUUUCCGUGCCCCCGUGCUCCGCCCCCAACCCCAAGCACCUCUCCGCUGACCAACGCAAGGCCAGACGACCCGAGGACGAUGCCGCGACCUUUCUUCCCCGUCCAUGGCCGCCGGAUGCUACCAUGUGAUUCGCCGUCGUCCCUGCCUCCCGGAGCUCCACGACUGGCUCUUUCGAACCGCGGUGAGCUACUCACCGUUUCCCCUCUGACCCCCUUGCUUGCUCCCGCCCUCUAGCCAUAGCCCCGAGGUCACCUGAGGCCGCCGUCCGCCAUGGCCGGCGAGCCCGCGCUCCCAAGCCUCUCGUCCUCGCUCCAGGGGCAUCGACAUGCUCCUGGCGCCUCCAGGAGGCUGCCUAGCCACAAUGUUUGCUCACUCGAGCACUAGAUCCCCAAACCCGCUCGAGCCCAACUCCGGCCGCCGCUUCUGCCCGCUGUUGUCGCCGCGACACGCCGUUCCCGGCAACCCCACUUGCACCAUUGGAUGCGGCCGAGCGCCAGCUUUCCAACGGGACUGACCGCGGCCGAAAGCGUCCCCUGUAGCGCUUCCCACAUCGUCUCCGUCGUCAGCUUUGGUCGCCGCCGGCUGAACUCCGGCGAGGCUGACGUGGCGCCGUCAUUAGGGGCUAAUCACGCCCUAAUUAACCCCCUUGCUCACUGACAAAUGGGCCCCACACCCUAAUUAACCCCAGCUUUAUUUCUGCUUAGAUUAGUCAUAACCCCGCGGGACCCACGCGUCAGCUUUGACCUUGCUGACGUGGACUUUGACCGGCCCCACACGUCAGUGACUCAUGCCAGCGGUGUGUCACUGACCAGUAGGCCCCAUUGGUCAGGUUUGACCUGGCCAGCCACAGUUGACCUGAUGACGUCACUCUUACGUCAUGCUGAUGCAGUAAAACCUUUUCCGGAUUUUAAAUAAAUCUAAAUGAUUUAUUUAUUUUCAGAAAAUAUCCAAAACGUUGAAAAAUCAUAUAAAAUCAACCGUAACUCAGAAUGUAAUAAUUUAUAUAUGAAAAAUUAACAUAAAAAUUCAAGGAAUCUGUUUAUGGCAUUUUCAUGCAUGUUUGAACAAUGUUUGUCCUCUGUUUUGGACAAAACAAAUAAAUGGCAUUUAACUAAUCAUAUAUGGAGUUUGAAUUUGAAUCUUGUACUCAAACCAACUUCAUUUAAUUGUGUUGCUAGUUGCAUUAGGCCAAUCAAAAACAUAUUGCCAUGUCACAUUCAUGCAUCAUAUUGUUUACAUUGCAUUGAUUGUGUCCUUCCCUGUUUACCGGUAACCGUCCCCUCUCAGACGACGAUGUUUCCGACGAUGUGAUCGAUGACACCGAUGAAGAACUAUAUUAUCUUCAGAAGUGCCGCGCAAGCAAAACUCCCUCAUUCAUUCCGAUACAAUCCCAGUCUCUCACUCCUGCUCUCUUUUAUUGCAUUAAGACAACAACGAUUCAACUGUUACUUGCUGUGGUAGUUGAACCCCUUUAUCCUCUGCAUGACCUGUCAUUGCCACACUAAAUAGAUGAAACCCACUAGCAUGAGUAGGAGUUGUUUGAGCCUUGAUGUGCCUACUCAUUCAUGCUUGUUUGUCAUGCCUGCUACUGCUUAGAGUUGAGUCAAGUCUGAUUCAUCGGGGAUGAAUUGGAACAGUGAUGAACAUGUCCUACUGUGUGUGCUAAGUGUGUGAACACGAUUUGGUAAAGGUAGCGGUGAGAGGCCAUGUAGGAGUACAUGGGGGGUUGUCUCAUUGAAACCGUCCUCAGGAACUGAGUUCUGUGUUUGCGAUCCAUGAACAACUACUACCACGCAUUGGGCCUGAAACCAAUGGACCCACUCGACUUAUUAACUGCCCUUGCCCUCUGUCCAGGAGUUGCAACUAGUUUCUGGUGUUUGUAGGAUAUGUGUUGGCGACCGUGCGUAGCGCUGACCCUAGGGGUGGGCUAUGAUGCGGUAGAUACACCGUGGCAUGGUGUACCGGGCGCCCGUUUGGUGUCUCGGUAACCCUGCACACAUCAUUUGGGGCUGUGAGCGAAACUCCGGCCGGAUCUCCUCGCGGAUGGAACCUGAAUAGGCGAUAAACCUGGACUAGAGACUUGUUUGGUUAGUCAGGUCGUGGACGACUCCCUCGCCAGGCUUCCGCUUGAAGGUUGCCGAGAUACAUGACGUGUACAUGGUGGUAAGUGGCGAGAGCGUGUGUGAAGAGGUACACCCCUACAGGGUUAUAAAUGAUCUAUUUGAAUAGCCGUGUCCGCGGUAAAGGACUUCUGGGUUGCCUAUAACAGUUCAUAGACAAGUGAAAGUGGAUACUCUAAAAUGCGCAAGAUAAGCGUGAGUGCUAUGGAUGGCGUUCUCGUAGGGAGAAGGGAGCGGAUCCAUAGUGGUGUAUUGAUAUGGUGAAGAUGUGGACUCGUGUGCGCCACCUCAAAAGAGUUUCUUCCAGUCAUAGUUCAGGUUAGCCAUUGAGUCAAAGCUGGCUUGCUGCAGUUAAACUCCACCACCCCCUUUAUUGAUACCGAUGCAUAUGUAGAUAGUUCUGAUGUAAGUCUUGCUGGGUACAUUUGUACUCACGUUUUCCUAUUUUAUGUUUUGCAGAGAUACGUCAGUCUCGCUAGUAGUUUCGUGUGGACUUCGACGUUUAGCUUGAUACCUCAGCUACGAUCUUGUGCCCUAGGCAGGAUCUGGUAGAUAGUCAGGCUUCUUAGCCUUUUCCAUUUGUAGAUGUAUGUACUCAGACAUGUUAAGCUUCCAUUUGUGCCUUGAUUUGUAUGCUAUGAUUGUUGGGUCAUGAGACCCAUGUUUGUAAUAUCUCGCUCCUCGGAGCCUAAUGAAUAAUACUUGAGUCGUAGAGUUAUGUUGUGAUGCCAUGUUGUAUUUACACAUAUCGAGCAUAUUGUGUGUAUGAUUGAAAUGCUUGGUAUGUGUGGGAUCCGACAAUCUAGUUGUUUAUCCUUGGCAGCCUCUCUUAUGGGGAAAUGUAGUCUAGUGCUUCCAUGAGCCAUAGUAGUCCGCUACAGCCCGGUUCACCGGAGUCUUGCUAGCCCAGCACUACUGCUCAGGACACUUGACUGGUCGGCAUGUGUUUCACUUCGUUCCUGUGUCUGUCCCUUCGGGGAAAUGUCACGCGGUGAAAUCCGGAGUCCUGCCUAGCCUGCUACAGCCCAGGUUCCCGGAGUCCUGUUAGCCCAGUGCUACAGCCCGGAAUCACACGCUGCUGACUCACAUGCUCGAUGUGAUUCAUGUAUGCCUGUCCCCAUAGGUUAGUGUCGCUUUGGUUUCAUGACUAGCCAUGUCGGCCCGGGUUCUCUGCCAUAUGGUUGCUAGCGACACUAUCAUAUACGUGAGCCAAAAGGCGCAAAUGGUCCCGGGCCAUGGUAAGGCGACACCCGUGGGAAUACCGUGCGUGAGGCCGCAAAGUGAUAUGAGGUGUUACCGGCUAGAUCGAUGUGACUUGGAAUCGGGGUCCUGACAUAACUUCUAGCCAGAGAGAACCCAUGCAACGGGCAUCCGGGCCUGGUGUUACCCCUUGAAAGGAGGUUUUGCUAUGGCGAUUUUUUGUUGGGUCUAUCCCCAUGUUGCGGAUUGUGUCAUGGUAUAACAGGUUUAGACCGCUGCCGCCGUCCAUCAGGACAUUUGUAAAGUGGAGUCCGCCGAUUAUUGGAUCUAAUACCAAGGCAGUCCAGCCUGCGUUCUGGAUACGUCUAGAGUAAUCCUGAUGGUCAAAGGUGAGCGGUUUUAACAACCAUUAGCGAGACUCCUUUGGGAUAGGCCGUAUGGCACGUAUCCCUGUUGGCGCCAUUCUGUUCGUCACGUGAAGUAAGUUUACUAUUUUGACUUCUUUUGAGAAAUCCUUUUGUCUCCUGGUGCUCUGCUUGUGGGGUUCGUCAUCAUCCUCACUUGGUGUGUCGAUCCCCUUGUGUUCGGCGUUGAGUUUGCCGGAUUGCUUGAAAACCCAACAAUCUCUAUGGGUAUGGUUCGCAGGCUUCCCGGGAGUACUGUGUGUUUGACAUAUUUUGUCCAAGAUUUUGUUUAAGUUGGAUAGCUCGUCCCUGUUAUCCUUGAGGGGUGGCUUUCUCUGAUUCUACCCCGAGCUUUUGCAUCCGGCGUUGACCGCCAUGCUCUUUGGGAUGUUUCUCUUAUUUCGGCUCUGGUCCUUGCUGCGUCGGGGUUUUCCGUUUCCAUCCCUAACUUCGGAUGUACUUGGGUCGCUGGUGCUACAUCUUGCCAACCAGCUAUCCUCUCCUGCGCAAAAGCGGGUCAUGAGGCUUGUUAAUGCGGCCAUAGUUCUUGGCUUUUCUUGGCCGAGGUGUCUAGCGAGCCAUUCGUCUCUAACAUUAUGCUUAAAAGCUGCUAGGGCUUUAGCGUCCGGACAGUCGACUAUCUGAUUCUUUUUAGUAAGAAAUAUGUUCCAGAAUUUCCGGGCUAACUCUCCGGGCUGUUGAGUUAUGUGACUGAGAUCGUCUGCAUCCGGAGGGCGGACAUAGGUUCCUUGAAAAUUUGCCCAGAAAGCAUCCUCAAGCUCUUCCCAACUUCCAAUGGUGUUUUGGGGAAGGCUUUUGAGCCAAUGCUGGGCUGGCCCUUUAAGCUUGAGGGGUAAGUAUUUUAUGGCGUGGAGGUCAUCUCCUCUGGCCAUGUGUAUGUGGAGGAUAUAAUCCUCGAUCCAGAUCCUAGGGUAUGUUGUUCCGUAGUACGCCUCUAUGUUUACGGGCUUGAAUCCCGCUGGAAAUUCAUGGUCCAGCACCUCAUCUGUGAAACAUAGGGGGUGUGCGGCACCCUUGUAUUUGGGUGUGCCGUGAUAUUCGGAUAUUUGUUGGGUUGCAUUGCUUACUAGAGCUUGCUUUCUUGGCCCGUAGAUAGAUCUGGCUGGGCCAUCUUUUUGAUGUGGAUCCUUUGGUGGAUCGCGUGCCGGUUUGUGUGUGGCGCCGCUUGCCGCUCCAUGCUGGCCAUGCGGUCGUCUAUUCGACCGGGUGGCUUUCCUAUUUUUUGACUGCGGGGGCUCUAAGGCCUCCUCGUCAAAUUCAGGCAGUAGCUUUAGCUUUGGAUAGCUUUAUGUGUGGCACCUGCCGCCAUAUUUGUCUGCGGUGUUGCGUACUUUGCUCCAUUUGAUUCUGAGUGCAUCUUCCGCAGUUUUGAGCUUCCGCUUCUGCUUUUUCAGGCCACGCGCAGUGGCGACGAGCCUUUUGUGGAGGUUCUUCUGCUCCGUGAGCCUAUCCGCGUAAGAUCGUCCGGACUGUUGUUUUCGUCGGGGACGAGGUGUUCGGUUUGUUUAUCCAAGUUGCCCUGUUCGGAUGUUUGCUCGAAGGCAUGUUCGUCGUCCGCCAGCUCGUCCUGCUCUAUGGCUGGGUCUGUAUGGCUGCUUUCUCUGUCGAGGCGUGGCUUGGAGCGGCGCUUAUGUCACUGCUUUGAUUGCUUUUCAAGUGAACGAUCCCUUGUUGCAUCCCUGUGUUCCUCGUCGUCACUUCCUUUGGGUGCCAAACCAUGUAUACAUCAUGAGAUGAGGUGGCUGUCCAGUGCCUUAUAUGCGUUGGUUCAUGUUCAUCUCCUACAUCGUUGUCCAUACCGUCGAUGUCUUUGGAGUCAAAGUCGAGCACAUCGUUUAAAUUAUCGACAGUGGCUACGAAGUGGGUGGUGGGUGGGCAUCGGAUUUCUUCGUCGUCCACAUCCCAAUCCUGCCGGUCAUAGUCCGGCCAGGACUCUCCUGACAAAGAGAGAGACCUGAGUGAAUUCAGAAUGUCGCCGAAGGGCGAGUGCUGAAAGAUGUCUGCGGUGGUGAACUCCAUGAUCGGCGCCCAAUCGGAUUCGAUCGGUAGGGGCGCGGAGGGCUCGGAGUCCAGAGAGGAGUCCGACACCUUGGAGUGACGGGCUUCGCAGAGGACAAGGCUGGUGUUUGGCUUGAUCGCCGUAGAGAUUGCAGCCCCGAGGAGGUGUCUAAUCACCCAUCAUCGAUUGGUGUGAUCGGCUCCGAGCUAGGGGUCGGAGCGGACACAGGUGCGGCCUCCAGGGAACUGUUCGGCGGCAGAGCUAGAUCAUGGCCAUCGUGGUAGUGCGGCGCGCUAGGCUGUGGCUCGAAUCCGUCGAAGAUCAAGUCUCCGCGGAUGUCGGCCGUGUAGUUCAAACUUCCAAAUCUGACCUGAUCGCCAGGGGCGUAGCUUUCGAUCUUCUCCAGAUGACCAAGCGAAUUGGCCCGCAGUGCAAAGCCGCCGAAUACGAAGAUCUGUCCGGGGAGAAAAGUCUCACCCUGGAUCACAUCGCUGUUGAUGAUCGGAGAAGCCAUCGGGCCUAAAAGUGACGACACAGAGGAACUCUCAAUGAAAGCAUCAAUGUCGGUGUCAAAACCGGUGGAUCUCGGGUAGGGGGUCCCGAACUGUGCGUCUAGGCCGGAUGGUAACAGGAGGCAGGGGACACAAUGUUUUACCCAGGUUCGGGCCCUCUUGAUGGAGGUAAAACCCUACGUCCUGCUUGAUUGAUAUUGAUGAUAUAGGUAGUACAAGAGUAGAUCUACCACGAGAUCAAGGAGGCUAAACCCUAGAAGCUAGCCUAUGGUAUGAUUGUUGUUCGUCCUACGGACUAAAACCCUUCGGUUUAUAUAGACACCGGAGAGGGCUAGGGUUACAUAGAGUCGGUUACAAUGGUAGGAGAUCUACAUAUCCGUAUCGCCAAGCUUGCCUUCCACGCCAAGGAAAGUCCCUUCCGGACACGUAACGAAGUCUUCAAUCUUAUAUCUUCAAGUCCAGGAGUCCGGCCGAAGGUAUACUCUGGCUAUCCGGACACCCCCUAAUCCAGGACUCCCUCACCAAGCAUUUCAAUCAUACACACAAUAUGCUCGAUAUGUGCAAAUACCACAUGGCAUUACAACAAGACUCUACGACUCAGAGUAUUUACUCAUUAGGCUCCAAGGAGCCAAGCAUUACAAACAUGGGUCUCAUGACCCCAACAUACAGAGCAUACCAGGCAAAGCACAUGCGGAAGCUUAACAUGUCCGAGUACAGACAUCUACAAAUGAAAAAGGUUGAGAAGCCUGACUAUCUACCCGAUCCUGCCAAGGGCACAAGAUCGUAGCUGAGGUCACAAGCUACACGUCGAAGUCCACGUGGAACUACUAGCGAGACUGAAGUCUCUUUGCAAAAACAUAAAUUAAGCAAACGUGAGUACAAAUGUACCCUGCAAGACUUACAUCAGAACUAACUACAUAUGCAUCGGUAUCAACAAAGGGGUAGUGGAGUUUAACUGCAGCAAGCCAGCUUUGACUCAGUGGCUAACCUGAACUACGACUGCAAGCAACUCUUUUGAGGUGGCGCACACGAGUCCACAUAUUCACCAUAUCAAUACACCACUAUGGAUCCGCUCCCGUCUCGCUACGAGAACGCCAUCCAUAGCACUCACGCUUAUCUUGCACAUUUUAGAGUAUCCACUUUCACUUGUCUAUGAACUGUAUAGGCAACCAAUUAGUCCUUUACCGCGGACGCGGCUAUUCGAAUAGAUGAUGUUAACCCUGCAGGGGUGUACUUCUUCAUACAUGCUCUCACCACUUACCGCCGUUUACACGACAUGUACUCGGCAACCUUCAAGCGGAAGCCCAAUGAGGGUGUCAGCCACGGCCUACCUAAACACUCAAGUCUCUAGUCCAGGUUUAUCACUUAUCCAAUUUCCAUCCAUAGGGAGUCCGGCCGAGGUUUCCACAUACGGCCCCGAACGAUGUGUAUAGGGUUCCGAGACACCAAACGGGCGCCCGGCAUGCCCGACCACGAUGUAUCUACCACAACAUAGCCCACCCCUAGGGUCAGCGCUACGCACGGCCGGCAACACAUAUCCUAUAAACACCAGAAACUAGUUGCAACUACUGGACAGAGGACUAGAGUGGUUAAGAAGCCGAGAGGAUCCAUUGGUUUCGGGCCCAAUGCAUGGUAGUAGCUGGUUCUUAAAUCACACAUACAGAUCUCAGUUCUUAAGGACGGCCUCAAUGAAACAACCCACCAUGUACUCCUACAUGGCCUCUCAUCGAUACCUUUACCAAAUCGUGUUCAACACACUUAGCUCACACAUAGUAGGACAUGUUCACAGCUUUCCAAUUCAUCCCCGAUGAAUCAGACCUGACACGACUCUAAGCAGUAGUAGGCAUGACAAACAAACAUGAAUGAGUAGGCACAUCAGGGCUCAAACAACUCCUACUCAUGCUAGUGGGUUUCAUCUAUUUACUGUGGCAAUGACAGGUCAUGCAGAGGAAAGGGUUUCAACUACCGCAACAUGUAACAGUUGAAUCGUUGUUGUCCUAAUGCAGUAAAAGAGAGCAGGAGUGAGAGAGUGGGAUUGUAUCGGAAUGAACAAGGGGUUUUUGCUUGCCUGGCACUUCUGAAGAUAGUAUAGCUCUUCAUCGGUGUCAUCGAACUCAUCGUCGAAACCACGUCUAUCGAGAGGGGACAACUUCCGGCAAUAAAGAAGGAAACACAAUCAAUGCAAUGCAACAAUAUGAUGCAUGCUCAUGACAUGGCAAUAUGCUGUUGAUUGAACUAAUGCAACUAGCAACCAUAUUAAAUGAAGUUGGUUUGAACCCUAGGUUCAAAUUCAAACCCCAUAUGUGCUUUCUUAAAUGCCAUUUAAUUGAAUUAUCCUAAACAGGGAAUAUAAGUUACUCUAACAUGCAUGCAAAUGCCAUAAACAGAUCCUUUGAAUUUUUCCGAUCAUUUUUCAUAUAUAAUUUAUUUCAUUCUGAGCUACGGUUGAUUUUCUAUGAAUUUUUGAAGUUUUAAACAUUUUCUGGAAUUUUCUGAAUUAUUUUAAAUCAAGAAAAUGUUUAACUGUGUCAGCGUUGUGCAAGCAUGACGUCAGCGAGUCAACUGAUGCUGACCAGGUCAAACCUGACGACCGGUUCCCACAUGUCAUUGGCUCACUGUUAACUGGGAGUUAAUCCCGUGUUGAUUGGGAUUUGACCCACUGCAGGGCCCGGCUGUUAGUGUCUGUUAGGGAGGGAUUAGUGGUGAUUAGCGCCUAUCGAAGCGACCACGUCAAUCCACCGGAGAUCGACCAGCGGCGACCUCAACUACGGCGGAAGCUCGCCGGAAACAUGCUAGGGGCUGCGGUUUGUCGCUCGGGAGGCACCGGACAUGAGCUCUUGCUCUCGCACAUCUGAUGGACCAGACGGGAGGUCACGGGGCGGUCGAAAUCUCGCCGGUGUCGAGGUUCAACGGCGAAAGAACCACGGCGUUGUGCGGGACGAGUCUACGGUGCAACAUUUUCACCACUUGGCAGUGCUUCAGACUCCUACGAGCUCAACUAGCACGGCUGCAACCUCAAAAUCGGGCGGAGGCGGCUAUGGGCAGGACAACGACAUGGCAGGGCGGCGGCGAGCUUCGGGCACGACGGCGCUAGCGCUAGAGGACGUGCGGGGCGACGUGGAUAGGGGCGAAACGAAGAGGGGCUCACCCCGCGUAGUUUGGAGACGUCAGCGAGCUCGGGGGAGGCUGGCCGACGACUAAUCGACGUCGGCGAUCCAGGGCGGCGGAGGAGGAAGAUGGUGAUGUUGCGAGCGAUGCAGGGCGUCUGGGCUCGCGUGGUUCGGUCGUGAAGAUGAGGGGGACGAUGGCGGAGCUCUUGAGCCAGUCAAGGAAGCGAGGGGUAGGCGCUGGCCGCGGUGGUGCACGUCGGCGGCGACGGGCACGUUCGGGUGGUAAGAGAGAGAGAGAGAGCCAGGGGAGGGGAGAGGUUGCGGGUGAGAGAGAGAGAGGUCAGGGGGUCUCUGGGGGUGUCGUGGCGCUCGUAGCGGUGUCGAGGAGGCAGCAUGCAGGCAGGAGGUGGCGGUGCACGUGCGUUCGCGCCGCGGGCACGCGCCCCUCUCCUCCUAGUGAGAGGAGAGGGACGACUGGCGUGGCCACUCAGCUGGGACGAACUGCUGGGCCGGCUGGUAAGUGGCCCAGGUAAGCCUCUCCCCCUUUUUUUCGUGUUUUGUUUUCUUUUCUAUUUCUGUAAUUUUGUUUAUGAUUUAGGAAAAUACUAAACCAAUUUAUUUUGUUCUGAAAGUUAAUAUAGGAACUAAUUGGAUUAUUCCAGAGCCCCAUAGUAAAAAUUAGAAUUAUUGGACAUACAUAAUAUAUAUAACAUAUAUAUAUAUAUAUCCACUGCAAAUAUUUACUGGAUUAACUCAAAUGGCCAAAAAUAAAUACUUCUAAGCUCCCAAAAAUAUUGGUUGGAAUUUUAACUCUGGCCAAUAUUAUUUGAAAAAAACAGGAACAUUUUCUUCGGCCAAAUUGAAGCAAUUUUUAUCUUGAUCAUUUCCAAAAUGAUUUCUGAGGAUUUCGCAAGUCCCCAUUUCAAAUUCACUGAAUUUUAAACAUGAUGCACACAUGACUAGCUAGCCCAGAGCAAACCAGAACUAGGGAUCUGACAACUCACCCCCACUAAACAAGAAUCUCGUUCCGAGAUUCAAGCAUAGGGUAAGAUGAAGGAGAAACACAAACUAACACAAUCUUCACGAUCCAGGUUGCACUUUGUAAGAACGUUGAUUCGUCACCAUCUUUGUCUCGACGUCUUGCUCUGAGAACUCCAACCGACAUGGCAUCGAGAGGAAAAGGAAAAACUCUAGAAGGAUCGAUCUUCUCAAAGAUCGAACAACCGAUGAUCAACUCACGGAAUGAGACAUUGAAACAUCUCUCGAGCUGAGACAUGAAACAUACAUCCAGAGGGAUGGAGUGUAACAGAUGACAAAGGUUCACUAGGUAGACAACAAUUCUCGCUUAAGAAGGUGGUGAACGGUUGUCAAUUUAGCAAGGAGUUGAGUUUCCAUGAUACCAUAGCGAGACAUCUUAGAGGAAGGUGACUCGCAUAAAUAUUCCCUUAAGUGGCAAAAAGAAUUACUUUUGAUACAAAGAUCAUUGAAACUCUCUAUACCAGCCUAAGGCAAUUCUGAAACGAUCGUCUGGAAGAGUUCGAAGGAGUGGCAUACUCAGACUAGGAUGGAUGAUGUGGACUACCUUGUUGAAGACAACGCAAUGGAUGAUUUUUGCUUAUCAUCGGAAAUGGAUGGGACGCAUGGUAAGCCCACUUUGAAGAUGAUCCUGAUCAGUAAUUACUGAGAAGGAUAGUCCAUAGUAGGAUGACACAAUGGCGGUGCAAGCUAGGAACAAAAUGCAAAUGCUGGGAAUGAUUCUAGUAACUGGGGAGAAACCCAACAGUAGAGAGAGAUUCCACUGUUUGAAAGGUUAUGGCAUAAUCGAAGAAACUAAGAACGGAUCCCAAUUAAUGUCGACGAUAAAUCCUAGUGCUUGCGCAUGCUCUCAUGAACUUGAGCAUUUCCGUAUUCAUCAAGGUUUUACCAAUAUCCAUGUCAAGGAUCCUGGCAACACAACAUGCUACCAUGAUAAUAAUGGUGGAAGAUGCGGAUGCAAAGAAAGAUAACACUUUCUCAUAUUUCACAUUAGCGAGGCCAAGGGAUCAAGAUCUGGAUGAUCGACCAAGAGACAUUUAGCACUCCUCUUCUAAUGUUCUCCUUGAUGUGCUAGCAUAACCCAUUUAUUAAUAUGGUUUGGUAUCUAGGACAUCAAGUAAAAGGUCGGACUUCAGAAACACAAAAAUCCAUAAGGAACUACUAUUGGAAUAAAUUCUGUGAGAUCCUUAUGGGGAGGUGGCCAACUUAUUCAAACAAGAUACUACAAUAAUAGUCCUUCCGGCUAGGUGUGUUGGACAAGACAACCACGUUACCGGGUUACCGAGAGACCAAUAUUAUAAUUCUUGGGACACGUUCCAACCAUCAUAUCUGCCUGAGAUUCAGAUCUGGUUGGUGUCAAGAUAUUCCAGACUCAUCGAAUCUAGAAAGAAAAGUGAAAGUUUGCAACACAAAUCGACAAGAUGACGUUGCAAGAUUCUCGGAAAAUGAACUACGAUAGUAAGCUCCAAAAUGUGAGCUGGUUCUGCUACAAACCUAUGAACACGCUGUCCAAGACAAGCAUGAUCACAUAGUAGUCUUACAAUAAAAACACUACCGGGUUCAUAUGGGGAACCAUCAUUGAGGAUAUCGAAGUCCUUGUAUACUUAUCGAUGAACUUAUUAUCCUUGAACAGAUUAAUCAGUGGAUUGGUGUGUUAGGGAAUACAUAUGGAAUGAAGAUGAUCAGUCUAACAGACCACAUAAUACUUUGCACAUGCAUGACUGACUUGGGAUGAUUCCAGAGGAAGCAAAAAUGAACUUUCUUGAAUUCACAGCGGCAACUUACACCUAAUGCACGUGAACUUGGAGAAAGUCACUUCUUUCACCAAACAUAUACCUCAUGAGCAGAACACGAAGGAAAUGCUUACAAAGUUUCCAACACUAGCUUAAUGUUUAACACGAGUCAUGGGGGAGACAAGAUGCUGCUGGUGGGAUCAAUAGCAAUUCAUCAGAAUUUUCCAUAUCACUGGAAUUCCACCAUUAUGUGAACAAUGAGAUAGUAUUGGUCAGACCAACGGAUGUAAUGGUGUAUGCUCGAGGAACAACCAGGAGUAAGACAACAUUGCAAAUAUCACUGGUUCUGAGUUGAUUUGAUGAUAGCCCACACUCAAAUCAGAAGAUUGUAAGACGAUAGUAUCGACAAUUGAUCACGUGGAUCAAUCGAUGAAGAUAUCAUAUUUCUUCAACACACACACACAAAAAGAUAUCCUUUUAGAAUGAACUAAGUAAGGCAAAGCUUUAUCUUCCAACUCUCCAAGUUGUUGUUUAGCUGAACCAACUAGCUUAGGGAUAUCCAACACAGAUUCUUGGAGAAGGGGUGGUUUAUCAGAAACCAACUUGAUCACGAACUCAACAUAGCGGUCAGGUGAUGACCUGGUGAUACUUUCGAGAAGAUAUUCAGAAAAUCAUGAACCACUGAUAUGACUCUAAGCUCGAGAAUAAUCUUGCUUUUUAGGGCAAGACGAUAUGAUCGAAAGAGUGAGGGAUUGACACAAUCCCAACUCAUGGAUCAAAGAGUGCACCAGAAAUUAGGACUAGGUAGCACGAUCAAUCUUAGGAUGAUGAUUUAAUAAUCAACACUCUGAGAAUGGGAAUAUUGUCCAUUUACUACAAAGCAAUGAGUUGCUCGGAGUAUUGAUUUCACACAUCACGGUUCACUUGUCGGUAUUCUGGUUGUAACAACACGGAACCGAGGAAUGAAAAAUGAUGGCAAGAAGUAUCACUGCAUCAAGAAUUCAUGAGAGAUGGUGCAAUUCUCAUGAAAAUCCCGGGGGUAAUACUCCAAGGUAGAAUAGAGCAAAAGCUGGAUUGGCAUUUGAUCUGCGGAAUACAACUGCUUUGACCCAAUUCUAGAUGUGGAUGAGGUAUUGGAGUUUGUUUCUCCUAGUCAUUCUGGAAUAGAAUGGCUUGACGAACCACAAGAGUAAUAGGCAUCGAUAACACGAGUGCACGACUACUCCUGACUACAAAUUGAUAGACGGGGAUCAGGAUACAUCUAAAGAGGGACAACCCAAAGGAACAUAUGUUUUUCAGAGUUGUGGAUGCAAAGAUUAGUUUGUCGAGCGAAGCUCAACAUUUCUUUAGGAUAACCCAUGCGGAAAGGGGUAGAACUGGCAGAUUCACAAUAUAGAAUGGAGAACUCGUCAAGAGCACUCUGGUCGUGAUCUUUUGGUUUAAAAGAAAACCUGCCAAGAAUGGUUCAUGAUAAUUGGAAGAAGGAUGUACCGCGAACCUCGAGGACUAUCGCAAAGGUUACUAAUGUCCUAAAGGAACUAGCAACACUAUCAACAUGAGGUAAGUAGGGUGAAUCUCGGGUUCGAGAACCCAUGAAUAGAAUACCUACUACUACAUGGCAUCACAGGAUGCUUUCGAGAAUAAUGGCAAGAAUCACACACUGGGGAUAAAAAACAUGGCUAGAUCACUAGGUGACUCCCUGAAACCCCUAGGGUCAUAAUAAUAGCUCCAACAUAUAUAAACCGAGGCAAUAGAGAACGUCAAUGCACCGGUUAGCUUGCCUUCCACACCAAGGAAAGUCCCUUCCGGACAAGGGACGAAGUCUUCAAUCUUGUAUCUUCAAGUCCAGGAGUCCGGCCGAAGGUAUAGUCCGGCUAUCCGGACACCCCCUAAUCCAGGACUCCCUCAGCAAGCAUUUCAAUCAUACACACAAUAUGCUCGAUAUGUGCAAAUACAAACAUGGCAUCACAACAAGACUCUACGACUUAGAGUAUUUAUUCAUUAGGCUCCAAGGAGCCAAGCAUUACAAACAUGGGUCUCAUGACCCCAACAUACAGAGCAUACCAGACAAAGCACAUGCGGAAGCUUAACAUGUCUGAGUACAGACAUCUACAAAUGACAAAGGUUGAGAAGCCUGACUAUCUACCCGAUCCUGCCGAGGGCACAAGAUCGUAGCAGAGGUAACAAGCUAAACGUCGAAGUCCACGUGGAACUACUAGCGAGACUGAAGUCUCUCUGCAAAAACAUAAAUUACGCAAACGUGAGUACAAAUGUACCCAGCAAGACUUACAUCAGAACUAACUACCUAUGCAUCGGUAUCAACAAAGGGGUAGUGGAGUUUAACUGCAGCAAGCCAACUUUGACUCAGUGGCUAACCUGAACUACGACUGCAAGCAACUCUUUUGAGGUGGCGCACACGAGUCCACAUAUUCACCAUAUCAAUACACCACUAUGGAUCCGCUCCCAUCUCCCUACGAGAACGCCAUCCAUAGCACUCAUGCUUAUCUUGCGCAUUUUAGAGUAUCCACUUUCACUUGUCUACGAACUGUAUAGGCAACCAAGUAGUCCUUUACCGCGCAUGCGGCUAUUCGAAUAGAUAAUGUUAACCCUGCAGGGGUGUACUUCUUCAUACACGCUCUCACCACUUACCGCUGUUUACACAACAUGUACUCAGCAACCUUCAAGCGGAAGCCCAACGAGGGUGUCGGCCACGGCCUACCUAAACACUCAAGUCUCUAGUCCAGGUUUAUCGCCUAUCCAGGUUCCAUCCGCAGGGAGUACGGCCGAGGUUUCCACAUACGUCCCUGAAUGAUGUGUACAGGGUUCCGAGACACCAAACGGGCGCCCGGCAUGCCGGGCCACGGUGUAUCUACCGCAACAUAGCCCACCCCUAGGGUCAGUGCUACGCACGGCCGCCAACACAUAUCCUAUAAACACCAGAAACUAGUUGCAACUCCUGGACAGAGGACUAGAGUGGUUAAGAGGCGGAGAGGGUCCAUUGGUUUCGGGCCCAAUGCAUGGUAGUAGCUGGUUCUUAAAUCACACAUACAGAUCUCAGUUCUUAAGGAUGGCCUCAAUGAAACAACCCACCAUGUACUCCUACAUGGCCUCUCAUCGAUACCUUAACCAAAUCGUGUUGAACACACUUAGCUCACACAUAGUAGGACAUGUUCACAACUUUCCAAUUCAUCCCCAAUGGAUCAGAUCUGACACGACUCUAAGCAGUAGUAGGCAUGACAAACAAACAUGAAUGAGUAGGCACAUCAGGGCUCAAACAACUCCUAGUCAUGCUAGUGGGUUUCAUCUAUUUACUGUGGCAAUGACAGGUCAUGCAGAGGAAAGGGGUUCAACUACCGCAACAUGUAACAGUUGAAUCGUUGUUGUCCUAAUGCAGUAAAAGAGAGCAGGAGCGAGAGAGUGGGAUUGUAUCGGAAUGAACAAGGGGUUUUUGCUUGCCUGGCACUUCUGAAGAUAUUAUAGCUGUUCAUCGGUGUCAUCGAACUCAUCGUCGAAACCACGUCUAUCGAGAGGGGACAACUUCCGGUAAUAAAGAAGGAAACACAAUCAAUGCAAUGCAAAAAUAUGAUGCAUGCUCAUGACAUGUCAAUAUGAUGUUGAUUGAACUAAUGCAACUUGCAGCCAUAUUAAAUGAAGUUGGUUUGAACCCUAGGUUCAAAUUCAAACCCCAUAUGUGCUUUCUUAAAUGCCAUUUUAUUGAAUUGUCCUAAACAGAAGAUAUAAGUUUCUCUAACAUGCAUGCAAAUGCCAUACAUAGAUUCUUUGGAUUUUUCUGAUCAUUUUUCAUAUAUAAUUUAUUUCAUUCUGAGCUACGGUUGAUUUUCUAUGAAUUUUUGAAGUUUUAAACAUUUUAUGGAAUAUUCUGAAUUAUUUUAAAUCCAAAAAAUGUUUAACUGCAUGAGCGUUGUGCAAGCAUGACGUCAGCGAGUCAACUGACGCUGACCAGGUCAAACCUGACGACCGGGUCCCACAUGUCAUUGGCUCACUGUUAACUGGGAGUUAAUCCCGUGUUGACUGGGAUUUGACCCGCUGCAGGGCCUGCCUGUCAGUGUCUAUUAGGGAGGGAUUAGUGGUGAUUAGCGCCUAUGUAAGCGACCACGUCAGCCCGCUGGAGAUCGGCUGGUGGCGACCUCAACCGUGGCGGAAGCUCGCCGGAAACAUGCUAGGGGCUGCGGUUUGUCGCUCAGGAGGCACCAGGCAUGAGCUCUUGCUCUUGCGCAUCUAAUGGACCAGACGGGAGGUCAUGGGGCAGCCAAAAUCUUGCCGGCGACGAGGUUCAACGGCGAAAGAGCCACGGCGUUGUGCGGGACGAGUCUACGGUGCACUAUUUUCACCACUGGGCAGUGCUACGGACUCCUGCGAGCUCAACUAGCACGGCUGCAAGCUCAAAAGCAGGCGAAGGCGGCUGUGGCCAGGACAAUGACAUGGCAGGGCGGCGGCGAGCUUCGGGCAUGGCGGCGCUAGCGCUAGAAGACGUGCGGUGCAACGGGGAUAGGGGCGAAAUGAAGAGGGGAUCACCCCAUGUAGUUUGGGGACGUCAGCGAGCCCUUGGAGGCCGGACGGUGACUAAUCGAUGUCGGCGAUCCAGGGCGGCGGAGGAGGAAGAUGGUGAUGUUGCCGGCGAUGCAGGGCGUCCGGGCUCGCGUGGUUCGGUCGUGAAGAUGAGGGGGGCGAUGGCGGAGCUCUUGAGCCAGUCAAGGAAGCGAGGGGUAGGUGGUGGCCGCGGUGGUGCACGUCGGCGGCGGCAGGCGCGUUCGGGUGGUAAGAGAGAGAGAGCCAGGGGAGGGGAGAGGUUGCCGUGAGAGAGAAGGAGAGCUCAGGGGGUCUCUCGGGUGUUGUGGCGCUCGUAGCGGCGUCGGGGAGGCAGCAGGCAGGCAAGAGGUGGCGGUGCGCAUGCGUGCGCGCCGCGGGCACGCGCCCCUGUCCUCCUAGCGAGAGGAGAGGGAUGACUGGCGUGGCCAGUUAGCUGGGACGAACUGCUGGGCCAGCUGGUAAGUGGCCCAGGUAAGCCUCUCCCCCCCUUUUUUUCCUAUUUUGUUUUGUUUUCUAUUUCUGUAAUUUUGUUUAUGAUUUAGUAAAAUACUAAACCAAUUUAUUUUCUUCUGAAAAUUAAUAUAGGAACUAAUUGGAUUAUUCCAGAGCCCCAUAGUAAAAAUCAGAAUUAUUGGACAUAUAUAAUAUAUAUAACAUAUAUAUAUCCAAUGCAAAUAUUUAACGGAUUAACUCAAAUGGCCAAAAAUAAAUACUUCUGAGCUCCCAAAAAUAUUGGUGGGAAUUUUAACUCUGGCCAAUAUUGUUUGAGAAAAACAGGAACAUUUUCUUUGGCCAAAUUGAAGCAAUUUUUAUCUUGAUCAUUUCCAAAAUUAUUUCUGAGGAUUUCACAAGUCCCCAUUUCAAAUUUUGAAUUUUAAACAUGAUGCACACAUGACUAGCUAGCCCAGAGCAAACCAGAAAUAGGGAUGUGACAUUGGCCGCGCUACACCACUCCGCGCACGCGUCGCGGCGCCCCGUGCAUCCUCGACGAGCCGGGUGUUGGGGUGUGGGACAACCAAUACCUCAACCAAAAUUUUGGUCAUUACCCAAAGAUUGGUCUUUGUUUGGAUGGUUGCUAUUUCUUUGGCAUGCCAAUGAUCUCUAGCCAACUCAAGUUCAUUUUUCUUGCCAAUAUCGGCCAAAUCAUGGGCAACCAAUACCUCAACCAAAAUUUUGGCUACCCAAUGCUUUGAUGGGGCAACCUUGGGCACAAACCAAACAUACCGUUGGUCGUGCCACAACACUAACGCCACCCUCGGCAAACUGAAACCGACCAUGUCUAGAGACGAUAUGAGCAUGUCGCUCACCGCACCGCGGUCGUCGUGUCCAGAGGCGGUGCUGGAGCCGCACCCCGUUGUUGGCCCCAAUGACCCACAUGAACGGUUGUCGGUGGCGAGGUGGUCGUGGGCUAGCUCCUCCACUGGACUAGUCUGCGCUACGUCAUCCCGACGGCUGUGCCCCACAAGUCUGUUUCCCUGUUUUCCCGGCCAUAUUCGAGCGUCAGCCUUUCGCUAUGUAGGCCAAGCGAGACAACUUAUUGUUUAUUUGAGCCGUUCAAGUAUAAUCAUGUGGCGUUUGCUUAUUUCUCAUUCCUCUCCAACCCUCUCCUCCAUCGAUCAUGUCACCCUCCAGUCGAGUCCAUCCUCCCGCAUGCCUCAUUUGAACAUUCUGCCGAGUAUCAUUCGCAUGUACCCACCCUAGUCCUCUUUCAAUAGAUCUCCGGACCCCGAGAUGAAAUUGAGAGGGAACGAGUGGGGGCACGUGAUACCUAUGCGGAUUCAAAAUUUUCAACCGGUGAUCAUAGCAUCCGCAAAUCAUAUAUAAAGGGUAUUCAACGUUCGUUUCAUUUUUGAACGUACAAUAUACUCCCUCCUAUCCUUUCUACUCCCUCCUUCCAUCUAUAUUGGGCCUAAUGCAUUUUUCAAGACCGCCUUUGACUAUUGACAAGAUUAAUAGUACAUGACAUGUAUAAUGCGAAAAUUAUAUCAUUGGAAGCUCCUUUCACAUACGAAUUUGAUGGUAUGCUUUACUUAAUUGCAUGUCAUAUAUUAUUGCUCUACCUUUUGGUCAAAGUUAGCCUCAAAAACGCAUUAGGCCCUAUACCGAUGGAAGGAGGGAGUAGUUUACAUAUAAGUUUUAUGUGUAGUCAAAGUAUAUCUACUUUGAUAAAAAAGGUAUCAACAUUCAAUAACACCCAAUCAAUAUUGUUAGAUUCGUACGUACUCCUAGAUUUGUACUCGAGAUGGUUUCCAAUUUGACUAUUGACAAGAUUAAUAGUACAUGAGAUGUAUAAUGUGAAAAUUAUAUCAUUGGAAACUCCUUUCACAUACGAAUUUGACCGUAUGCUUUGUGUAAGUUGCAUGUCAUAUAUUAUUACUCUAACAUUUGGUCAAAGUUAGCCUCGAAAAAUGCAUUAGACCCUGUAUGCUUUGUGUAAGUUGCAUGUCAUAUAUUAUUACUCUAACAUUUGUGUAAGUUGCAUGUCAUAUAUUAUUACUCUAACAUUCGGCCAAAGUAGUAUAGUGGAAGUUGAUCCUCUGACAUAGGUAUCCCUGCCUUACCCUCCCUUUUGGUCACUUACUGGCGGACCCCCUGCUUGCUAGGCCCCGCAUCUCAGUUACUCAAUGGGUUCGACCACGUCAGGGGAUCCUCAUCCGUAGUAAUACUCCCUCUGUUUUUAUUUACUCUGCAUAAAAUGGAGGGAGUGGUGGUAUAAUAAAUGACACGGGUGGGGGAUGGAGAGGGACGUCGGUUUGCUCUCAACUUCGGUACCACAAGCGAGCGAAAACGCAAGACAAAGCGCGUUCCAUUCGGUGGGCGACGUGGAGGGUCCAGCGUGCCGGGCUGCAACGCGAACGCGACAAGAGCGAUGUACAGUCAAAACCGAUUGACCGGUCGUCACCGGAAUCACUAUUCACACCAGAACCUUCACUGCUCGGCCUACUCCAGCCACUGCCCUAAAACCACACCAAAUCUCUAGCCCAUUCCCCCACCUUUUGAUUCCCUAGCCCGCAUCAAGCGUCCCCCUAGUUUGCCGGAAAGCCAUGGUGCGCCACAAGAUCACUUACUACAUGAUGUUGACGCCGGAGCGCCGCGCAGAAAUCGCGGUGGCGGUCGGCGCCACAGACCUCCGUUCCCAAGCUCGCUUUGCGGCGGGCCAAUCCCCAAGUUCUCUGGAGCCAAGCUACGAGGAGGAGGAAGCCGAUCCAAUGUUCAUGGCGGAGGUUGCGGCGUAGAAGGCCCCCGAUAGGUAUGAGACGAUGGACGUCGACUUCGUGCCGGCGUCCGAGUCCCGCAUGGUGCAGGCGGACCAGCGGUUCAACAUGGCAAUACUAAAGGAGGACCGGGAGGCAGAGGCUCAACUCGACGCAGAGCGCGCGCAUGCCGCUGCCAUCGAGGCUCUCCUGCAGGCGGAACCAGAUGUCGUGGAUGUGAACCGGGCGGCGGAGGCUUAACUUGAGGCGGAGCGUGCGGAUGCCACUGCCAUCAAGGCCCUCCUACAGGCGGAACCAGACGUCCUGGAGUUGAACCAGGCGGCAGAGGCUCGACUCGACACAGAGCGCGCGGAUGCCGCUCUCAUCGACGCCCUCCUGAAGGCGGAACCGGAUAUCCUAGACUUGAAUCGGGCGGCGGAGGCUCGGCUCAACGCAGAGUGCGCGGAUGCCGCUGCCAUCGAGGCCCUCCUGCAGGCGGAACCGGACGUCCUCGACUUGAACCGGGCUGUGCUCUCGUCCAUGCAGAGCGCCUGCACGCUCCGCUUGAAUGAGUAGCUGGAGGUCGAGGACAACCACGGUGCGGAGACACACGUCGGCAGCGACGGCUGGUUCGCGCCGGCAGCCAAAGACGACGAGGCCGUCUCUUUCCACGAGCAGUGAUAGUUUUUCUUUAUGUUGUUGUUUUCAUGGAUCUUUUGCUGUGUAAAAACAUAUAUUUGUUAUGCAAGUCGCCUGACUUGGGUUAAUCUAUCAUUUCAGGUGGUUGGAUGAAUAUCCUACGUCUCCUAACCCUUCUUUCCUUCUUCCUCACCUCUUCUUCUUCCCCAACAGACCACCGCACGGGCCGUACGGAUACUCCCCAACAUGCGGUUGGACAAACAUACUCUAUGAACGAAAAUUAUGUGUCAGCAAUAGGAUGGCUGAGUUUGGUGUGUUCACAUGCGAUAGCACGUGUCAGUGAGGGUGCGUUCCCUUGGUUGGGUUUGCGGCGUGCAGGAGCGACUGUGUGAGGGUGCGGUGCGACCGCGGCGUGCAGGAGCGACUGUGUUAGGGUGCGGUGCGACCGCGAUAGCCGUGCGCAAGUGUACCUCCUUCUCAUUUUGAAAACUUUAGGCAAGCUUGGCAAAAAUGUGUGGCGAAGUUCGGCAAUGCAAGGCCUAGACCCAAACAGGAUAAGUACGUACUCCCUCCGUUUCUUUUUAGUACGUACUAGGAGUACUAGUGUUAAAAAAGAAAGGCUGGGUUUUCCUUCGCGGGAUUUAAUCGAUACAAAUCCUUGUUUCACGUGUCAAUUAAUGCGUAUUUUCUUCUCCAAAGACCAAAGAGCUAACCAUCUCACUCCUCAUCGCUUGAUUAAUGCAGCGCCAUGCAAACCAACCUUCUCACUUCCGCAUGCAUGCAGGGGAUAUUAAUGUCCUUGGUUGCUAACCCCAUCAAUUUUGCCUCGAUUAGUGUUAGUGGCCUUUUACAAAUUGUAAUUUUGAUAUAUUGGCCUUGUGUACAAAAAAAUGGAGGUAGUAACUAUAUUUGACUUCCUUCCCCAUUGCGGUGACGUCGACGAUAUUUUUUUUUGUGGUGGUUUGGCAAAGUGCGUUCGACGGAGAACACCAUUUGCAUCCAGGAAGUCCUUACUAGUACUACUAGAAGUAACUAAUGCGGUGUGAUGGCUUCUCGAACAAGACGAUGGAGAAGCAGAGUCAGUGAAGAGUGAAAUGAUGGUUGCUUCGUCCGUGCUUUUGUGAUUUAACGCCUCACUGCUUUGUGAUUUGUGAUAGAAGGGACAGGGGAGUAGACUCUAUUCUUUAUACUAUAGUACUACAUGCGUCCAAGCAUGGGAGAAAGAGGAGAGACAUUGCAUUUUUCUAUUGCUUCAAUCAAUAAAUCACGGAGCUUCGGUUCCAUCUUUUUUUUGACAUAAAGACUGUAAGGGACCCCCUACAGUAUAGUUGGUGCAACAAACCCAAAUUGCAAGUACCAAGCCUUGAACCUGGGUGGGUGGGAAGGCAUCAGCCCCUUCCCACCACUAGGCUAUGCCCAUUUUUUCGCUUUGGCAACACCGUCCACAAUGGUUCCCACGAUGCCAAAAGCUAUUUUCACAUUUGGCUACACAUUGUGGAUGCCCUUAACCGUACCACUUGGUUUUGCUCCUGUGUAAGAUCUAUACAAAUCUCAAUUAUAUUGAUCUAAAAAAUUAUAGAAUCGAGAUUAGUAAAAAGGAGGUUAUUUUGCCGUGUGGAUGGCGGGGGAGGUUUCUUAUUUGAGCAAUGCUACAUCCACGUAAUGGUUUACGUAAAGUUACGAACUAAUGUGAUGUGGGACUAUUUGAUUGGAUUAAAGGAGAGGAUUAGGCCCACCCCACCUGAAAAAUCAGGUGGGCCAUAUAUAGAUUAGAUGGAAAGUAUACGUAGCAGCUACGUAGCCCUUUGUAAGUCUAGGAUUAGGCUUCUUAUUUUCGGAGGACGUUAUUCUGGCGGUUUGCUAACAUGCGGUCCCACGUGUCAGUGCUUUACCAAGCCGAUCCGCGUCCCACAUGAGGCAGACCAACUGUAGAAGCAACACGUGGUUAAGUUGAAGAAGAUGAGGGAGAAGCGGAUUCAGCAACGAGUGAAAUGAUGGUUGCUUCGUCCCUCCAACUUAACUGCGGGAAAGGUGCAACUUUGUGAUUUGACGCCUCAUUGCUCAUUACUACGCCGGCACCAUGACUGUGGUGCUUCACCCCGGCUGCUCUGCACCGUAUUCCGGUAUGGCAUGUGGACCCAGUAGCUUGAUGUCCCAAAUGUCGGCGAAAGGUACUAGAAGAUUUAUGAAAGCGAGCGCUCCACUCUUACGACGGAGGAGUAGACGACACGACGGCCCAGUGAAUUCUCACUUGUACUGUAUAGUACUAGUAUAGUUUUGCUAUUUUGCAUGAUCCAUCGAUACAAACCCGAUUAAACAGGAAAGGGCGGGAGUUUUCCCGCGCGGUAGAUGAUACUGGCCCUACAUUUCAAAGGCAAUUUUAAUGUAUGCAAACUGAAUAAUUAUAAGUAACAAUAUGAUAUCUAGUAAAACUAAAAACACAUAUGAUUUAUUGUGUUAGAGUGUAGUAAUUGUGCUGUAUUGCAUAGUUGUUACAUGUAACAUGCGAGAACGUGUAGAGAUGUAGUUUUGGAGGGCCUACAGAGAGAAAACCGUAAUACGGUCACCGAACUUCAGAAUAAGCUGAUUACGGUCACUAUAUACGUUUUGCGGUGAUUAUACGGUCACUUGCUCACAGCUCAGCAUCGGAUUGCACUCUGUUGACCGGCCAAAUAGUCUGCAUGGCGCCAUGUUGACAAGUUAAAUUGACCACGUUCGUUGUGGGUCCCACCUGUCAGUUCGCAUAGGCAAAAGGUCAGAUAAACACAAAUUUACGGAGGCGCAACAAGGCUCCAACCCGUGCGCGGGAAUCACCUUGUUGUGUAUGUGUCUGUCAGGGCCUGAUGUGUGCGCAUGCAUGUGUAGGUUGAGCACUUGAGCGUGAGAGUGUGUGUUGGUCGUGUGGUGUACUGGUGUGUGCAUGCAUGCGUGCAUGUGAGUGUUGUGUGCGUGCGUGGCUGUGUGUGUACGUGUGAGUGUUGUGUGCAUGCGUGGGUGCAUGUAUUUGUGUGAAUGUUGCGUGGAUGCAGUUCGUGUUCAUGCGUGCGUGUGUGUAUAAUCACCACACUAGCUCCUGUGUGUUAAAACAGACGGCUCAGCAUACCAAUACAAGGCCACCUUGUCCGCUGUGCCCGCGGUCAUGACUUCGAACCAUCGUCGAAAUAUUUUGUUGUUGUUUGUUUUCAUUCUUGCUAGCAAGAUGCCUGUGCGUUGCACGUAACAUCAAGAUGCAUUUGUAUGACUUGUUUAUGUUGUGAGAGAAAAGGAUGAACGAGGGAAGGCCUUAUUUGCUAAUGUGGAGAGGUGUGAGGGUACCUUUUUCCAAAAUUGCCAUAGUUUCUUUCCUAUCCGUCAGAUAUAAAUCGGACGGCCUAUAUUGCAGGAUGGCAGGCACACCAUCAUCACCAACUCUAUUUUUUAUAAGUGUGUAUUUUAUGUAUUUUAUAAGAGUGUAGAUGUAGAGUAGAUACAAGUCGACAGGUGGGCACGAUGGUAGUGAGAUAAUGUGAUGCAACACUAGAGGUGCCACGUGGAGCGUUUAACUGGUCAACUAGUCAUGUCAUGAGAAAAUACAGAGUUGUACGGUGAGCCCGUGACUGCAUAAUAACCACUAAACAUAAAUGGUGACUGUAAUGAGUGGAUUCUGAAGUCCAAUGUACGUAUCAUGCUUUCGCUUAAAAUACAAUGAUCGUCAUUGCAUAUAUCGUGAGAGAAAGAUGAAACAUGCCUGAAUUUUCUGGGGGGGGCUUACUUUUAGAGGACUGGAGAUAGUGUUGUAUGCAUACAUGAAAGGGCGUACAGGGGGGGGUAUGUGAUGGAGAGAGAGAUGCUCUUCAUUUCUCUUUAUUAUGACUAACUUUGUAUAUAGUAUAAAAAUAUACAAAUUCACAGUACGGAAUAAAUAUCAUUGUGGGCACCAUGCAAUGCAAAUUAGCGUUCGUACUCCUCCAUAUAACUUUGUAAUGUUGUAUAUAUGUAGAAACUCUAAAAUAUUUUUUGGCCACACUUUAUUCAAAAGGAAUGUUGUAUGCGAAAUGAACGUGAAGAGAGGGCUUUUUAGAUCAAUGGGGUACGUGAUGUAACAUGUGUGAAUGUGUAGUUGAUGCAUUUGGCGGGGCCUAGAGAGGUAUGUGUGUGUAUUACGUAUUCGAGAGAGGCAUGGAUAGAGGGGCCAACAGGGGGGCGUGGGAGAGAUAGCACGAGAAAUGAGAGUGGUCUAGAGAGAGAGAGAGAGACGAAUAUGACGUCAUGACAAGAGAUUCCAUUCCAUUGAGUGUGUAUAUGCAAGGGGGGAGGGAAUAGAGGCACCAGGAGAAAUUUUCUAUGUGUGUAGUGUUUGUGUUGGUAUUUGUGGGUGUGAGAAGAUAAUGAGACGUGGGGGCAGAGGGUGUGUCACCGCGUGAGGUCCGGUGGGUCGAGGUGAGGCCCUUCGUUUUGUUCCGUCCUGCGCCACAUUGGUUGGCCUGUGAUGCAUUGAGGAAGACCCAUGGAUGACUAGUCGUACAAGACAAAGAUAGCAGAAUUGUGAAGGACUCUGUGUCCACUGACAAAGCCGGCUAGGAUUUGUAUACCUAGGUUCUCGGACUAAGGUAACCCCUUUAUCUCUGAUAUUACUAUUCAUCCAACCUAACUUUAAGGGGCAUCCUACAGAAUGCUCUGCUAGAAUCAUACUCGUCGAUUAGGAAGAGAGGUGUGAGACAAUGCGUGAGAGACAGGCGUAAAGAUAAUGUGCGUACAUGAGACACGUAGGCAGGUCCAUGUAUAUAGAAAGGGUCGAUGAGGAUUGUGCGUGUGUAUGUUUGCGAGAGGAAGAGUGCUUGUGAUAAAGGUUAGUGAAAACAGUUGUAAAUGGUUACGAGAGAGAGGGAGGGUUAUAUCUAGAGCAUGUGUGCGAGAAAGACACCUCGGGAGAGAGUGUGUGAGCAUGUGUGAGAGACCACUGAUGGAGAGUGCAACUACACGUAAAAGACUGCUCUACACAUUGAUUAAAGAUAUAAAUUGUAUCCAAAUAUUAGGAUGGGAUCAUGAUAUUUGCAAUUCGCGUAAGGAGCGGUCAUUGAUCCAUCAGACAUCUAGAUUCUAUCGAAUUUGAGCAUGUCUAUGUUAUUAUUCGACACAAUUGAUCCACAUAGUUAGUAUUUCAAACUCCAAACAAUGCAUCGCUUUAGCAAUCGAAUAUAAACAUGAGUAUAGUUCAUGUUGUGUGUGUAAAGCACAUUAUACAUACGAAAGUUACACAAUGGACAUUAUAAAUAGCUACUACCUAUGAACUAGCAUACAUUUGAAUUCAACUUAAGGUGGUUUAAAAAAUCGAAUUUAACAUGAAGUCCAUUCAAUUAUUUGAAUUUGAUAUCAUGGCAUUUGUAAACCAUACCUAAAUUAUGGGGGCACCAAUCUUUGCUCUGAUUUUGUACAUAAUAGCAUAUGUAGUCGUGUACAAAAUAGAUUCAAAUUUAGCUCCUGCAUUCCAAAAUAAUCGUAGUUAUAGGAUUUUCAAGUGUCAAAAUUUCAAAAAGAAGCGGAUAAUUUAAUGAGGUUUUCAAACAUACAAGGUCAAAUAUAACGUUGUAUAUUUAGGUCAAUCCUCAUAGUUCAAGAGUACUCAAAACGUGAAUGCUUGUGUUUCAAAAUUUCGAACAAAGCGCCAAAAGGAGCCUCUACUCGCCCGAAACCGCGUGAGACCAAUGUUUGGUAGUACAAGGAAUUUACUUUUCUAAUAACUCCGACCCGUGAAACCUACCGUCCCGACGUCCAACGGUCUAAACCGGGGUAGGUUUGUAGCUUCAUCUAGACGCCAUGCAACCGCAUCCGAAAAACAUUCAUACACAAUGGUGCCUAAGCACACAUGCGCGCGGCCGCAAUCGCUCCCGCCCACUAUUUAGGACACCUGGGAUUACCAUCCUACCCCCAACCCGCAGUAGGUCCCAAAUUUAAGAGGGGGGCAAAGUUUGUACUUUCCCCAAAUUUCAAACAAGCGCGUCCAGACCGAAACAUGGUUCCCCCACCCAUCCGAUUCCCCGUUCGUACUCCAUGGGCACCAAAACUACCUCUCCACCAGCCGCGAAACCCCGGCGUCCUCCGUCCGCCACCCCAUCCCACCCAUCAACCGCUGCCCUCCUCCAUCACGCCAGAGCCAAUACCCUGACGUUGUCGUCCACCGCAACCUCAACCGCAACGCCCUCCACGGCUAGUAGUUGAAGACGAGGCCGAGCCGUCCGUACCCGAGCCAGUUCAACCACGCCGUCCUACACCUCACCGCUGCCACUCCAACUUCUCCACCCUCCACCACACCGGAGCUGUUCCUGCUACGCCGUCCUUCGCCGCCUCGGAUCUGCUUCCCCUCCGCUGACAUACGGCCACGACAACACAGUUAACAAUUUGGCCAUGGGUUCGUCCAAGCAUGCACCCUCCAGAACAUCGGUUUCCCUGAUAAAAACAAGAAGAUCGGCGCGACAUGUGGGGGUGACCACACCGGCAACCGAAAAAGGUACUCCUCUUCCCUUAUUCGUGCAAAUCUUACGUCUCUGCUUGCACGGUAUUCAUCCCACAGAAGACAAUAGUUGACCGCUUCUUCUUGAUACUAGAUGUUCCUAGUAACUCGCGAUGCACAAGGUUUCUCCUCAUAUACUAUUUCACCUUAGCUAGAGGUCCGUUGCCCCCCUGAAUUUCAAUUUCUGGCCACUUGAUUCCCAAUUAACGGAAGCAUUCCCCGGCGUAAGAGGCGCUAGUACGCCUAUUACGCCGGGGAAGCAGCGCCUUGCUGUUUAUCAUAGGGGCAUGUGCGGCCUAGAGCUACUGGUGCCCAAUCUGGAGGUCGGCCGGGAUUAAAGGGAUGGCCUAGGGGCGCUGCCAAGCACGGCGGUGGUGUGAGGUCGAUGGGAGGGCGGGGCGGCGGAGGCAGGGGUCUGGGCCGGUGGUCGCUGGCGGUUCGAGAAAGAUCGUCAACAGUGAAUGGCGGGAGGUAGACGAAGGCCAUCUGCCCGUUCCUUAUAGAUCGGAUGGUUCAUUAAAAAAUCCACUGACCUAUUUAUUUUCAGUUGACUGUUAUCUUAGAUAUGACCACAUGUGGUGGUGUGCUGGAGGAGUACCUGCAUUUCCUGUGCUCAUAUAUUACAAAAUCAUACGGAGUAGCAUCUAAUUCUGUUUGCCAUGCAAUGUUGUAGAGCUAUCAUAUGUCUCCUGUCAUUUAUUUUUCAGCCACCUGCUAUCUGCUACUUUUAAGUGCACUAGUUCUGCACACACUUCACCCUUACUCUCACUGUUGUGUUUUUAUGCAAGGGUAUUUCAGACACUGCUGCCAUGAGAGAAACCAAAAAGAAAAGAGAUAAGUCGCUCCAGCUUGUUGUGUCGCUAGGCAAGACACGUUUCAACACUUUAAUGGGUGCAGUGUCAGCAGAUGGAGACGGGGAACGUAGCUCUGGAGUUGAUGACCUCGCUCGCAAUGAACCACCAUCCCAGGUGCUUGCUUUAACUUCGCGGUGUCAUAUGUGGUUGCAUGUUCCAUAUGGUGUCUAGCUUGUAUUCGAAAGGCCGAAGUCGAUAAGAUAAGGAAAGAUAUUUUUUACAUGAACCACCAUCCCGUGAGCACCAGAAGACAAAUAGCUCGUCAGGGCACUGGCCGAGCCAGUGACAAGCCUAGCAAAGAUAUGCAUCACCUGGAAGCCAACUAAAAAGCUGCGAUGGUGGCGAAGCAGCCCGCCUCCCAGCAGGCUCUCAGGUCCUAGAUGAUCAUGCUCACCACUCCAGCCGGAUGUCUAGCUUGUAUUGCUUCCAAUUUGGUUAAAUUGCAUCUGCUUAGCUUACACAUUAUACCUUUGAAUAUGACAUGCCUUUCUGUUUUUGGUACAUACUAGUACAUCUGUGUAUUAACCAUGUUCUUACAUCAAACUAAUGUUCUUGUGUAUCCCUCAUCAAUCACUUAUGACGAGGCAGGCAGGCAAGGGGACUACUCAUCAUUUAAAGAAUGCAACGUCAACAUCCCGACAUGAUUCUCAAGAAACAGAAAUGCUACAUGAAGAUAGUGAACGUAGCUCUGUAGUUGAUUACAGCAUUUCCCCUACACUAGCAUCGCAGGUGCUUGCUCUAACUUGGCAGCGUGAUAUGUGGUUGCAUGUUGCAUAUGGUGUCUAGAUUGUAAUUCUUCCAAUCUGGUUAAACUGCAUGUGCUAGUCUGCUUAGCUUAUACAUUAUACCUGUUAAUGUGACAUGCCUUCCUAUAUUUAGUACAUAGUACAUCUGUCUAUUAAGCAUGUCCUUACAUAAAACUAUUGUUUUUUUGUAUCCCGCAUCAAUCAACAUGACGAGACACCUUUAGUAUAUGCAGUGCGAUAUUAGUUGCAUCUUUCAUAUGAUUUAUAGCAUGCGCUGCAUCUAAUUUGUUGAAAUUCCAUUUAUGAUGGGACACUUUUAACUUGGCAGAGUCAUAUUGGUUGCAUCUUUCAUGUGGUGUCUAGCUUGCAUUGCUUCUUAUUUGCUGGAAUGGUUUCUGCUUAGUUUACACAAACAGUUGUGAACAUGCCAUGCCGUCCUGUUUUUCUUACAUAUUCCAUCCUGGUAUCAUGUGUUUGCCUUACAUCAAAGUAGUGAUUGUUAGUAUCAUGCAUGAAUGAGUUCUGAAGAGACAAUUUUAUUGCUUUUUCUUGUCUGUUUUACUUGACAAUUCAAAAUCAAUAAAGCGGAAGGAAGUUAGCAAGGCAGCGGAUAAAGGUGCUCCUUCCGAACGGAGGGCCUCUACAGUUUCUACUCCUCCACACCCCCAAGAUGAUUUCCAAGACAGCACAUGCAUAGACACUCAACAAAGUUGUGUUUAUGAUGAGCACGUCUCCCCUAGUGCAGCAUCACCGGUGCUCCCUCUAACUUGGCACUGUUAUAUGUGGUUGCAUGUUAUGUGUGAUGUCUAGCUUGUAUUGCUUCUAAUUUUGUUGAAUUCCAUCUGCUUACUUUACACAUUAUACUUGAGAAAGACACGUGUUCCUGUUUCUAGAACAUACAAUAUCUGUCUAUCACACCAUGUUCUUACAUCAUAUUACUACUGUCGCGUAACCUGCAACAAUCACUUAUCAUAAGACACGUUUGACUUCGGAGUGUGAUAUAGGUUACAUCUCACAUUCUUUUCUAGCUUGUACUACUAAUUUGUUGAAAUGGCACUUAUGACGAGACAAUUUUAACUUGGUAGAGUGAUAUUCGUUGCAUCUUUCAUAUGGUGUCUAGCUUUCAUUGCUUCUAAUUUGUUGAAAUGCCUUCUCCUUAGUUUACACAUCAUAAGUUGUGAAUAUGCAAUCCUGUGAAUAUGCAAUGGAACUAAUGACGAGAGACCUCUAACAUGGUAGUGUGAUGUUGUUUGCAUCUUGCAUAUGAUUUAUUUCUUGUACUGCUUCACAUUUGUUUAAACUCCAUUUAUGAUGAGACACUGUUAACUUGGCAGAGCCAUAUUUGUAGCAUCUUUCAUAUGGUGUCUACCUUCCAUUGCAUUGCUUCUAAUUUCGUGAAAUGUCUUCUUCUUAGUUUACACAUCAUAGUUCUGGUUAUCUCUUCCGUCCUGUUUUUCAUACAUAUUACAUCCUCCUAUCAUGUGGUUGUCUAACAUCAAAGUUCAGUUCAUCUGCAUCACGCAACAAUUUGUUCUAAAGAACUAAAUUGUUAUUCGUUUUUCUUGUCGGCUUGAUUUAACAUGGCACAGAGAAAGAGGAAGAAACACAGAAUGACAGGGAAUGAGAAGCGGAUGAAUCAUGCAGAUUCUGCUGGUACUGAUGGUGUAAUAGAAGGUCAAAGUCCAGUAGAAAAUUCUACAAACACGGCAUCCCAUGCUACACGAGUUGCAAAAAAAGACAAACAGAAACAAAUAGCUGCCACCAAACAAGCAGAGACAACCCUAGUUCUUGCAACACCUACCACAGUACUACCAGGUGCACGAUGUACUCAUGCGUCAACUGAGCUAGCAGCACGUUCCCAAGCUCCCUUGCCACCUGACACUACUUCCCAAGCACUCUUGACACAAGACGAGUUGGCAAUAUCAGAUGAACCUUGUGAGCUUCAAUAGCAAGAAGGUAGUUACUGGAGUCAAGUUACAAUUGCAUGCUUCUUUAUAUGUAGUCUCACAGUUUGAUGUACACUAACACUUCCUAUGUUUCUUGUUGGACUAGCACCUAGGUGCAAGAGGAAACAAACAUUAGGGAUAAUACUCGAUAGGUUAACUAAAUCUAGAGGAGGAAGAAUGGAGAUCCGUUUUGAGGCAGUUUUAAAAAGGCCAUGUGAUGCUACAGAGUCAGCCAAGUUAGUAUCAGAGGCAGCGGUUGCUGUUAGGUGUCAUGUGCGUAUCCUCCCAACAUGGAUUCAGUACAGGAAUGACAAAGACGAAACCCAGUUCAACACCUUCCUCGACCAUUUAUCUGUAAGUAUGGUUCUGUAUGGAAACUAGUAAUAUCGUCUUGAUCUGUCCAAUAAUUUCUAGGUUGCUGAUAAUGAGACUCCCAUAAUUUUCAACAGAUGAGGUUCAAGUUGGAUAGCCAAGAUGAUGCAACCAGACAAGCUUGCACCCAUGUUUUCAAGUCUGCUCUGUGACAGUAUCGGUAUAACUUGAGGAAAGCUCACUUUGAAGGCAAGGCUAACAGUGAACUUGCCCAAACAUCUCCAGUGGAAAAUAUAUCCGAUGAAGACUGGAGAGGCCUCGUUAAACACUGGUCCGAUCCGAAGUAUAAGGUACAUUAUAUAUAUGUCAUCAGAUCACAUGUUGAAGUCCUAUUUACGCAUGUGCCAUACAAAUCUAUCUUCUUGUCGGUGAACUGUUCAAAGAACAAGGCCAACCGUACGAAAGUGAAAUUCCAACAAACGAAAGGAUCUUGUAGCUAUGUUGCACACUGCGAGGAUCUUUUAAUUAGCUGCUGUUUCACUCUUUUCACUGUACCAUAUUAUCAGAUCUAUAUUGACUUGUUCCAAAUGCAGAGGAAAGCCCGCAAGGACCAAAAAGUAACUGAACCAAAUGUUGUGGAAAUCUUCACGGACUGUCACACCAGCAAGAAGAAGGGCAUGACUACACCAGUCAAAGCCGCUGUUGUAAGUCCUUAAUCCUCAUGCCUUUUAACUACUACUUACUCUGACUUGUGCCUUGAACUGCAUGGUUUGCAGCCAAUGUUUGUUACUCUUUUCAAUUUCAUACACAAUUGUCUUAGCGUAUCAUUGCACCUUACAAGGUUUAAAAGAGAGGAGUGAUGUUCCUUUCAUCUUGACCCGUAAUCUAGUUCCGUGCUGGACUUUCCCACACAACGUUACAAUUGCAUGUUUGUCUGUUCUCAGUUGUUUUGUGAUAUGAAUGACGUCAUACUAUGCUUACCGUAUUAUAAACUUCGUCUCUUCAUCCUUAGCCCUCAAUACAAUGUGAAGAAAUAGACAAUACAUUAGCGAUGGUACAUGGUUAUAUGUUUGGAACCUGGUUUUAUUAUGUACUUUGCAAUAAAAUACAACUAAUAUUUUACAUGGGUUCACCAGAAUAAGUUCUGUAUAUAGACCCAAGCUAUUUUGUUUGGUUUUACUGCCUCCUUAAUAUCUUCUGUUCUGGUACUACUAAUGUAAAACCUCAACUUUUCAGCAAGCUAUGGAAAAAAUGGUGGGACCGCCACCUUCUGAAGGUGGCGAGGCAACUAUAACCGCAAUGUCAGCUCUUGCUGAAGUGGGUCAGUACUUGUCCACUAACAUUGCCAAAAGCACGUUCCUGCGUAAUACUGGGUUGGUUGUUAAGGCAAUAUCGUCCAAACUGCCUCAUGAUCAAGAUAUGAAAGCUCAAAGCAAUGUUGUAUCUGCGCUCCAGACACAAGUCCAUUCCCUAACAGAGACCCUUUGUGAAACAAGGAGAAACAUUGCUCAAUGUCGUCAAGAUAUGCAUGGUUUUGAAACCAGACUAUCAGACAUUUGCAAUGUUGUUCAGGAGCCUAGGGGAAAUGAAGGCGAGGGUUAUGGUGCUCCAUCGGACAAUAUAGCAUGAAAACAUAACAUUCAGGUGAAAUGAACUGAGCUUCUAAACUUCUGCUGGUGCAUUUAUUUGCUAGACUGUUAAGUUUUACGCCAACCUUCCUUUUGUUAUAUAGUUGUAAUUUGUUUUGGUGCGAUACAAAAUGUAUUCUUAACGUGCAGCCACCGCCUGAAGAAAACAGCAAGCCAUUUUUGUAUAGUGUAGCGUGUUCCCUAUAUUUGCACUGGUGGCGAUCUUUGAUGCCGAGUGGAUGUAAUCUGUGCAAUCUCCUUAAUAGCCUAGCAUUAGUUUUGGCCUUAUUUAUUUCCUAUUCUUCUUUUUCCCUGGUUUGCUAGUGGCCGCAACUACCAUGGGCCAUAUACGGGUCGUAGGAUCCGUGGGUCACCUACGGGCCGUCGAUAAAUGGGCAUGUAAUCAGUGGGCCUCGGGCCGUCGGAUAAAUGUGUCUACAUGGGCCAUAAUCGGGCGUAAUUGGUAUCGACCCAGCACGGUAACAGGCCAUUAACAAGCCGUAGGACAGCAAAGGCUUAAUUCUGUCACAGGCAUAACGGGUCGUUAAUGGGCCAGAAUAUAGGACGGGCUGGAAAAGGGGCAACGGGUUAACAGGCCAGAAACGGGCCGACUCUUGCCAUGGGCCGAUUUUGGCCCAUUAGGGUAACAUGCCAGUAAUGGGCCAACUCUUGGCAUGGGCCGAAUUUGGCCCAUUAGUGGAACAGGCCAGUAACGGCCCGGAAGUAAUCGAGGGCUGAAAAGGAGCCCAAGAACAUAUGGGCCGUAAAUAGGCCGAAAGCUAACACGGGCUGGAAACGGCCCUUGUAAAUCAUGGGCCGUUAACGGGGUAUAAAGAAAAUUACUGUUCAUUAUGGGCUAGACUCACUAUGGGCCUGUAAUGGGCCGAAAGAUACGAAGGCCUCAUAUGGGCUGAAAGACGUCGUAGGCCAUGUCGUGGUUCUAAGUCUGACAGUAGUGUAGGGGGGUAAGUAUGGAGAGGCAAGAUCUUAGCUAUGGAGAAGUUGUAAGCAUGCAAGCUUUACGAGUUCAGGCCCUUCUCGAAGGAAGUAAUAGCCCUACGUCUUGGAGCCCGGAGGCGGUCGACUGGAUUAUGUGAAUAUGAGUUACAGAGGUGCGAACCCUUGUCUCGGAGGAGGGGGUGGCUUAUAUAGAGUGCGCCAGGACCCCGGCCAGCCCACGUUACAAAGGGUUCAAUGUACAUUAAGCCAGGGCGUUACUGGUAACGCUAGUAAUAAAGUGCUAUGAUGACCAUAAAAGCUACUUAAUGACCUACCGUUAGCGUGCGGAGUGACUUCAGGUUUCCUGGCCAUCGAGUGGUUGGAUCUUGGUCGAGUGAUUCCUUCUCGGUCGAGCGUCUUCGAGUCUAUCGAGUGGAAUACCUCCAAGUCAAUUGAAAGGUGGUUUCUUCUAGAGAUGUCCUUGGGUAGGGCAGUUAGGACAGGUCCAUGAUCCUACCCUAGGUACAUAACUUCAUCAUUAGCCCCCAAAUGGAUCGAGGUUUGAGUGGGGAAGGAGUUGAGAACUUCUUUGACUCGUUUUUCAUGCCGUGAGCAUAUCUUGUUUCAAAUCAACGAACCUGAGUGAUGACAACAACUUCCUUUUCAGUCGCCUUGAUCCAUUCUUAAUUCUUCGUCGAGUGGGUUUCUUUACUUGUAAGGCUCCGAGUGAUGGUGCGGAGGAGAUCUUUGGUCUGACAAGUUGUUUCCUGCGCAUAGAUUUCAUGGGAUCCGAAUUUUGGGAAGCGCGCGGGAUGGGGGAGGCCGCAGUAAUCGGAUGGGAUAGAGCGGAGCCGCCUCGAUCCCCACGCCACCUUUUUCGCCACGUAUCGCGCGUGCGGUCGUUACGGGAUUUGACAGAGCCACCUGGGCCUACCCGUCAGCCACUCGGAAGCGGCCUGAUAUAAAGCGCCGGACCGGAGUCUCCCGAACAGUGCAUCUCAUUACCUCUUCUCUUCCUCACGCCCCUCCGCUGCGCUCGCUCUCGCCCCAGCGCCACCGCACCGUAUGCGUCUCGCCGGUGACAAUGGGGAACGAGAAGACAACGGCUCUGGAGCGGGCAAAGAAGGCAACAGCGAGGUCGAAGGGGAAGGCGACCAGCCGGGGCGGAUCUUCCUCGCGGUCCGGCCUGCCGAGGGGCUGGAUCCAGGGCGACUGGAUCCACUCGAGGAUCUCCCAAGAAGACCUCGACGACUUGGCCAAAGGGGGGCUGAUCCCCUAUGACUCGGCGCGGCUUCUGGGGAAGGAAUCUGAGCCGCAACCUCAGGAGGGUGAGCGUGUCCUUCUCGCCACCACGUCGACCGUGGAUUUUCCUUGCCCCCUCACCCCUUCUUCCGAGGGUUUCUGAACUUCUUUGGGGCACAACUCUAUCAUUUUACCCCCAACUCAAUCGUUUAUCUCGCCGCUUUCAUUUCUUUGUGUGAGAACUUCCUGGGUUGUCGGCCUCACUAGGGUCUCUUCAAGUAUAUUUUCACUUGUCGCUCCCAGACAGUGAAAAAGGCUAAUCCGAGUGACGAGAGGACCCAAGUGAUCCAGAUGUGUGGGGGUCUUGGCAUCCAGACGAGAGGGAAAAGCUCCUUUCCGGCCAUGAUUCUUCCCGACUCAGUUCGCGGAUGGCAGUCGACCUGGUUUUAUUGUAAAGACCAGUUGACGCCAGGGCAAUGGACUGGCCUCCCUCCCUUUACCAUGGACCGAGUGGGAAAACCCUCCCCUUUGAAGGUGCUCCCGGAGGAGAAGGCGCACAUGAAGGUGUUGGUCAACCGAGUGGUCCAGCUUAUUCGUGACGGGGUCACUAGUAUGGAUCUCUUGGAGGUCUUCCUUCAGCGGCGCAUCCAGCCUCUCCAAGCCCGACAUCAUCCGAUGUGGAUGUAUUCGGGUCUUGAAGACUCCACUCGGAUCCACCCGGAGGAGGUCGACGACGACACACUAGAGAAGUG